CUCCUAAUCUCCUCCCCACUUCUUUAAUUUCAAAAUCACUUCCCCCUUUUUUAAAAUCUUCUUUGCUUGUGCUUGUUUUCUAAACUUAGACUAUAUUGCAAAUUAGAAACUUUGGCUUUAUGCCAUUUGUAAGACCCCAAUUUUGUCCCUAAGAUCCCUCAUGGCAUCAUAACAUUGCAUUGCAUAGCCUCAAGGAUCAUUGAGCAUCUUGGCUCCCUUUCCCUUUGGGUAGGGAUCUCUUGUGAUGGGUUUGAGAUCACCAAGCAUGCUUGAAUUGUAUAUCAUUUCUUUUGUCAUUUUUUUACUAACCAAAGACAAAAUAUGUCUAACAUCUUUUGUUUGUAGCUUAAGCAAUCACCAGGUCAAGAGUUUCAAGAAGAUCCUUUGUGCAAGAGAUGAGGUAAUUUACUUGGGAUGAGGAUCACAUGAUUAAUAUAAGGAUCUUACAUGAGCUAGGGUUUCAUUUUGAAGCAAUUUCACCAAGUGGUAGAGGCACAAGUUAAAUCAAGACAUUUCAAGGUCAUCUGAGGACCAAAAUCACUGUGCAGUCAACCUGAGGGCUAUGAGGUGGGGAAAUGAGUUGAGACACCUCAAUCAUGUUCAAAUAGGGUCUAUUCAUCAUUCUAAACAUCCAUCUUGAAGAUUCAAAGGUCAUGGCAAAAGUUACUAAAAAUGGAAAAUGACCUAUAAUUCGAAGUUUCCAAAUUUGGCAAGUUUUUGGUCCACCUUCAACUUGACUUGUCAAUAUCAAAGAUGUUUCAAAUGGAUUUUUGGUGAACAUGAAAGUUGUAGAUCUUUGUCUCCCCUUUCCAAAAAGUCCUAAUUCAUGUCCAUAUCAUGAAUGGUUGAGAAGUUAUGGUCAUUUGAUCACAAAGUGUGCAUGGAAAUUCAAAAUGGCAUAACUUUUGAUAUAAUGCUUCAAAUUGGUUCAUUAUUUUGGCAAAAUGCUUCUCAUGUUCAAGACAUCUCAAAAUGAGCUUUGCCAUGCAUGGGAAAAGUGUGCAUGCUCAUUAUUUCACACAUGUGAAAAUUGAAGAAAAUAUUCACCAUUCAUUUUUUGGCUUAAGAUGCAAGCUAACAAAUACUCAAAGCAUGACCAUUGGAUGUUCUUAAGUGGAUUUAAGCCUUAACAUGGAGCUGAUCACGUGUAUUAUGGGCAUGUGAGCUCAUUUUGCAUUUUUGCAAAUUGCUUCAUAACUCCUUAAUCAUGAUUAACCAAUGGAAAAUAUGAUUAGCAUUGUCAUUAGCAUGGGAUAUAAAUACUGAAACCCUAAUCAAAACUGCAAAGAACCACCAUUUUCAGAUCUGAAAUUCAAGAACUCUCCAAAAUUCUCUCUCUUCGAAUUUGAUUUUUCUUCACACAAUUCUCAAAGAUCAUUGCAUAUUUUUGUUCCUAGUGCUUCACUGAGCAAGAUUCAUCCACUAUUUGGUGCAAUUCAUCAAGGAAUCGAGCAGUACAAGAGCAUGAACAUGGCAAUCAGAUUUGGAAAUUGAAGCAGAUUCAAGAGGAUUCAACCGUUUAUUUUUGCUUAAAGCUUCAUAGGAAGAUCAUAGGAGAAGAUCUGGAGCUGUAGAGCUUGAGAGAACACGUUUUCAGAAAGCUUCAUUUCCAGGUGAUGCAAUUUUAGAUCUCUCCUUUUGCUGUUUUUUGAACAUAGAACUGUAGAUCUUGUUGAGUAGAGCACAAGUAUGUGUUUAGAUUUAGAAUUUAGUGAGAAUUGAGAAUGUUAGGUUGACUAGAAGUUUGGAUCUAGAAAAUGUUUCUCUUCGAUCUGUAGAAUCUAUGAGGAAUUAGGGAAAUCUAAGGUCAUAUUUGGAACCUACGUUGGGAGACGAGUCAAACGGUAUAGGACUCGUGAGAUUCUGGAAAAUUUUGGGCGGCGCCACCGUGAGGCUUGCCGGAGAAGACGACCGGAGCUGUAGCUCCGGCGUCUGUAUCAUUUUAGGGUUUGGUGAUGUGUACUGCCAUGUGUUCCAUUGCAUGGACAAGCGAUUGGAUGAUGUUGCUUUGACUGAGCCACGCGUGUGUUGAAGCGCUGAGUGGCAUGCUGAUUGGUUUAAGUGAAACUGCGCGUUUUGAUGUUUAAACCUGGACCAUUGAUCUGGAGCGCGCGCCAGAUCUGAUGGUUGUGGAGUUUUUUGGCUUUACUCAAAUUAAUUCGUUUCCCUCCAUUUUCAUUUGAUUAUUCAAUUAUUUUGCUUAUUUUGUAAAAUUCAUAAAAAAUGCAAAAAUGAUCCAAAUGAGUCCCAUUUUUUUUUCAUGGUUUUGUAUGGAUGUCUACUUUUUUAUGAUGCUGAUUUCAUGAAUUUUUGAUGUCUGGAUUUUUAUUUGUGAAUUUUUGAAUGAACAUUGUGCUAAUUUGAUCUAUUGCAAUCAAUGCAUUGUGAAAUCCUCAUCUUUGAGCCAUAUGAUCCAAUUUUUUGCAUACAUGACAUUCAUACAUAAUAUGAAUUAUUGGUCACUGGUUUGGAAUUUUUCUCACAUGUUAUCAUCAUUUUUGACACAUAGGGAAUAAUGUGACAAUUUGUGUCACAUUUUUGACAUUGAAUUGGUGAAUUUUUGUUCACAUGACAUUUGCAUCAUUCUGGAUUUGAUUUUUUGCAUGAUGAUUACUCAUGACAUGAGGAACUUGUACAAAAAAGCUCAAAGUCAUUGCAUGCAUUUCUGAUUUGGUAUGAAUUUUCUAAGUUGGAAGUUUAUUUUGUGCAUAUUUUUGGUCAUUGCCUGGCAUAGACAAUUAGAGGCAUUUGAUUUUUUGAUUUGAUGCUGGUCCUUUUGAGGACAUUUAGUGGAGUGUUGGAAGGUGUAAUGUGUAGAAGAUUGGGUUCUGGUUUGGUCAUUUGGUUAGGUUUUUAAUUCAUCUCUUAUGCUUUUGUUUGUUGGUGUUUGUUGUGUUGUUUAAAUACACAUAGACUAACUUUGUCUUGUGUUUCAGGUUUGGAUACUCAUCAUUGAUCUUGUGAGAUACAAAUGCAUUUGAGUACUGACCUAUUGUUGUUUUGUAGGGUUUUAACUGAUGUGGUGAACUCAUGAGCUCAUUUGAGUAUUAGGGCACUUAUGCACUGAAUUGUGUAAUUGUUAGAGGGUUUCACUGUUUGUUUUCUGGUUGUAUGACCGAAGUACUAAUUGUUUAGUCUUUGUACAGGUACUUUAGUUGCUUGCUUGCUUUAGCUCUUGCUUAAGCUUUGGAUUAUGGUUGACACACCACUCAGGUAAUUAGCUUCAUACUUCAUGUAGUCUGAAGUCCUGUCACCUUUUUGGCCGGCAUUUUGCUGGCAAGUCCUCCUUCAGAGGCUCUGUUUGUGUUUGUUUAAAAUUGUGCUCAAAGACCUCCAAGAAGAGGCAUGUGAUAUUUGAUAAGACCUCCAAGAGAAGAGGCAAUUGAUGGAUAAAAGGGAUUAGUAGCCAAUCCCCCGUUAUUCAGUAUGUCGUUCUUUAUGCUCGCACUACGUGCUGAUGCUUCUGAACAUGUGCCCCAGAUCUUUGUCUAGAGUUUGUCAAGUGGAAAAGGAUCCCACUUUCUUGAUCCCCACGCUUUCUUUGUCAUGAGCUCACCCCGGCCAAGGUUAAGAGCAUGAGGUCUCAUCCUCAUUACCGAUUUGAUCAACUUCACCCUAACGUUCAAUGUUAGUGGUUAAGAGCUACAGUUUGGCUUGUUCGUCGAGGUUGACAUGACCCCUCUUGACUAAAGCCCACCCAUUGUUUGAGCCUCUUGUAUGGAUAUAGUGUGUAAUGUUUGUUUACUUGUGAGUUAAGUUCUUGUUAGAGAACUCAACUUAGGGAUGUUGAUUGCAUGACAACUAUUAGGCUCGAAUCUUAAUCUCCCUAUUAGUUUGUUGUUUCUCUGGUCUCUGGUUAGGAGAGUGUUUUACCCCAUGGAACUUUUGAUGUGUGUGCUCUUGAACUAGGAGUUUCCAUUUGAGCUUAAUUGGAGGAUCAUUACCAUGUUCAUCCAAGUGGAGGAUACAAGAAACAUUGGGGAUCUCUUAUGAGACUUGUUUGAUUGCUUAUACUUUGUGCUUGCUUAUUCCAAAGGAUGGGAGCUACUUGGAUCAUCAAUAUGAUCUCAAGAGAGGAACUCCUAGUGUGGUUUCAUUUCAAUACUUUGUGCUUGCUUAUUCCAAAGGAUGGGAGCUACUUGGAUCAUCAAUAUGAUCUCAAGAGAGGAACUCCUAGUGUGGUUUCAUUUCUUAUCCCUCAUCUUUUUGUUUUCCUUAGGACUUAGCCCCUAUUCUUCAUCUCUCUACCCUAACCCAAGCCAAAACCCUUUUUGUGCAAACAUUUAACCUGUGUUUUCAACAUUAGAAACCUAAGCCGUAUGCUUUUGAUAUUCAAACUUUCUUUUCAUAGCACUCAUUUUGAAUUGAAUCUUUAAGUCAACUUUGACUACUUUUGUAUAUACUUCUAAUUGGUAGAUAUAACCCAUUCAAAUUUCCCUUGUGUGGUUCCUAUGGCCACUUUCUUAAUCAAAAUUUUCCAUAACCUUUAGCUAUUAGGUUUGAGUUAUCUUUGUGGUAGAUGUAAUACUCACCUUUGUCCUUAGUGAUGGACAAUGAGCCUUCCAUGCUUUUUAUAGGGUUAACCCCUGACUAGCAUGUUGAAGCUAUCCUCACAUGGUGGACUUGUGGUUUUAGGUUGAGUUUUCUCCCUUUGAUAACAAAAGACCUUAAGGCUUUUGGACUAAUCAAUUCACCAAUUUGUUUUGAGAUUUUUACCCCGAACUACGAGUUUUUGAUCCUAAUCUUUUUAUAAGAUGGUACGUAUGCAAUGGGUUUAUCCAUCCAAACAUAAAAUGUAAAUAACUUGUAUAUUCUCUUCUCAUCUCUUCAAUCAUGUUUGCACAAAUAAAUUUUCACAAGACAACAACCUUCACAAGUAUGAAAAGGGCUCCCUAGGAGUACCUAGGAUGUUUUGGGUGCCUAACACCUUCCCAUUGCAUAACCAACCCCCUUACCCGAUUUCUGUCUUUAUUAGUUUUUGUUCAAAACUAUUAGGUUUUGUUCGUUGUCUAACCCAUUUACCUUUGGAUAAAUAGAGUGCGGUGGCGACUCGAACUUGUAUGAUUUACCUUGAGUUAGUCAUAUCGCAAUAACCGGUACACGGAAUACCCCGCCUACACCUUCCUAUACUUUAGGAUUAACAUUGCUAAAUAUUUGGAUCCCUUGCUAACUUUAGGAGAGUUAAGCGUUUACCUUGCUAAAUAUUUAUUAAAUACAAAUAUUAUUAUUAAUAAUGAAUAAUUUAUAAAAUUAAUUUAAUUUUAGUUACAUACAGUGAAUUCAAAUGUAAACCUAUUUCUACUUUUUUACUUCAUCAUUUAAAAAAAAUCAAAAAUUAUUCGAUACUUAUAUCAACCAAAUUAAUUUUAAUAAUUCUAUGGCUUAAAGAAAUUACUCUAUAUCAAAUAAAUUUAUAGUAAAAAAGUGAAUUAACUAAAAAAUACAUAUUAUAAAUAACGAAUAAAUGGAACAACUGAGUCACUAAUUAUAAAAUAGUUAUUAUAAUUAAUGAGCUUUAACAAAUAAACAUUAUUUAAAAUUUUAAUUAGUGCAAUUAGAAAUUCAAAUCUAUUCAUUCUAUCAUAAAUUAAACUAUUUUAUUUAUUAUAUAAAUAUAUUUAUAUCAUACAGAUAACCAAAUAUUAUUAUUUUUUAUAUCUGUUAUCAUAAUAAAAUUAAAAUUCAUAUAUUUAUUGAGAUGUCAUGUAAAUGAAUGAAUGCAAAUGGUGAAUGAAUGUCAAUGCCAUGAAUCCAAUUUAUCAUAACCAAUCCGCUACAGAAAGUGGCGACUCUGCUGGGGUAAAAAGCCUAAUGGGUUUUGCCAACUUUCUGUUCUGUUUGUAUUGGUUUGUGACAUAUUUUUGUGCCAAUUUGGGAUUACUGUAUUGUAUGUAAUGAUUGAUUUGCUUGAUAUUAAUUCCUUGUAUGCUUGGUGAUCUUUGUGAGAUGAGUUCUAUACCGAACUCAAGUGCACUUAUGGAUAGGAGAAUGCAUAGUCUUGUUGACUACUGUGGAGUUAUUCCUUAGCAAGUUGACUUGCAAGUCCAUUCACUUGGUGGAGGUCAUGUUGGGAUCAAUAAUGUCACACAGUAGUUGUGGUUAGACAUUAUUUCCAAUAUAGACUUAGAAGCCAAGGACCUUAGUUUACCAAGCCCAUCUGGCCUAUUUUUAGGAUGUAGUGCGAAAGUGUUCAAAUGUAGAUUUGAUACGAUUGUUACGCAAUACACACUCAUAAGAGUCUCCUCUGAGAAUUAUUUGGAAUAACGAUUAGUCGUUCUCCGAUAAUAUCGAAAGAUGGGAUGAUGACUAUGGGAACCUCUUGUAGAACAUGUUUGCAGGUUUAAACCCUAGUACAUUCCUUUGGGUGGUUCUUAACAGACUUCCAUGCUCGUGAUUUGCAACAAACCUUGAUCAUGGUUGAUCUUCAUACAUCCUUAAUAUCAAUGGAACUUGGGUGUUGAUAAGGUGUAAACCAUAAUCCACAAAUGGAUGAUUGAUAUUAAGGAUAAUAUGAUCCAUCCCAUGACCUUUGUUUGGUGUGCUUUGCGUGAUCCUUGAGUGGUGAUUGUUGCAUUCAUGCACUCAUUUGCAUCCAUAUCAUCAAUAAUAAAAGAAAUUUUUCAAAGGAACUUAAGGGUUAUUUGCAAAAUUUUCAGACAUGGAAAGACAAGAAGGAAGACAAAAAAGUAAGCUUUCAGACAGCAGAUUUGAAAGAGUUAAGGAAUUGACAAUCCUAUGUAUUAGAUCCUUGGGUUUCAAGGCUCCCUUUGGAAGCUUCUCCUCUUCUGACUACUCAGGUGGAUGAAGGUUGAUGAGCGUAUUGGUGCAGUUUUAUGAUCCCUUGUACGCUUCGUUUCUCACGUUUCCGGAUCUUCAGCUUUUGCCUGACCCUGAGGGUAUGCCUAUCUUGUGGUAUACUUAUCUGAGUCAGUUCACCGUAUAGUCUAUGGGAGAGUUAUUCCUACUCUCAAGAGCAUAGCUAGACAUGUUGCAACUAAGAUGAAUCUCUGAGUAGUGCUCAUAUGACUACAAAAGGUGGGAUUCAAGGUCUCCCCUUCUGAGUUCCUCAAUUGCUCAAGCUACUAUUUAUGGCAGAGGCCAUGAGUAAUGAUUCCUUUGAAGCAUAUUGCUACUUCCAUUAUGGGUUGGUAUGGUUCCCCAACAUCGACAAGUUUGUGGAAAUGUGAACGCUAUUAGGCAUCUUUCUCCGCUCUCAAUCUUCGACUCUGUUGGGUGAUACCUAUUUCUCUUUGCAUAUGAGAUGCCAGAAAGGGUCGUGGUGCCAAUUAUGGGUGUAUUGCUCUGUUGUAUAAGUGGAUUUUUAUUUUUCUCACUACUCAGACACGGUCGCCUUCAAGGAGAAAAGGAUUCUACGGUGGGGGGUUCCACAGAUUAUGUCUCUCACUAAUGAUGAACUCUUUGGUAUAGACCGUGAUAUAUGCUGAUAUCUCUUUGUAUCUCGUAUGGUGAAUUCUCCAACGUACCUCUUCUUUGGCUACAUAUGGUGGGAUUACUACAACCCUGUGUUAGGCACGUCAUCCAGCUUGGGUCCCUAAAAGGAUUAAACCCUAAUAACAUUCUUUUAGAGGGUGUGUUCUUUCAGGAGGGUAAAGAUCCCCAAGGCUUGAAGGGCAGAAUGGUUCGCGCUUGGCGCAAGGUUCAUAAGAAAGGAAGGAAGGAGUUGGGUCCUAAGAAUUGUGUUGCUAUGAAGCCUUACACUGCUUGGGUAAGGAAGAGAGCAUCUGAGUAUCUCAUGCCUUACGAAUAUCCGAGACCUAAACCUUUGGUUGUGGUUGGGCCUUCAACCCUCCCUAACCAAGGAGUAGAGGAGUUAAGAGACGAAGACCUAUCACGUGCCUGGAUCCGUGAAAGGGAGGAGUUGCUUCAGCAGAUUAAGGAGAAAGAUGCUUUGAUAGAGUUCCUCGAGCAUCAAGUUAUUGAUGAUCCUAAUGAUGCAUGGACUUUUCUACUUCCCCAGUCUUCCAUGUUUUGGAAGAGGAAGUAUGACCGACUCACCAAGGAAAAGGCAGACAUGGAGGCAGCUUACGAGAAGGAGGUGAAGAGACUUCGCGCAUCCUAUCUUCCUGUGUCCCGAGCUUUAGAUGAUUGUUUCUAGGGAUCCAUAGGAUGAUUAUUUUCCUUUUCUCUUGUACAUGAUUGACAAUGUUGUACUUCUUUUCCCUGAUGCUAUGCUAUGAUAUAUUUCCAUAUGUGAUAAACGGUUAAUAUUUCCAAAAUUUGCAAAUAAAACCCUAGAGUUCCUUUGAAAUAAAAACAAAUCAUAUGCACAAGCAUUGCAUGCAUCAUAUGCAUAAGCAGGUUUUGUACUAGAGUUCCUUUGAAAUAAAAACAAAUCAUAUGCACAAGCAUUGCAUGCAUCAUAUGCAUAAGCAGGUUUUGUUCCCGGCUUCUGGUCUUGUGGUCUAACUCUGUGCUCUUCAUUUAUUUUGAAGAUAAGCUGACUCACCGGUACUACACUAGAGCCAACUCUUCAAGACUAAUGGAUCAUCUAGAGCAAGAGAACCGUGAACUCAAAGAAGAAGUCGCCAGACUGAGUGCUUUGAUGGAAUCAUUCCUGGCUGCCCAGAGCCAGUCUUCUCCAACGCCUUCAACUCCUUCCCAGAGGACAGUCAUCUCUGAGAUUGUUUCCUCAACUGUGCCUGCAGCCAAUGCACAUUUUGCUCCAGCAGCUAUGCCAACCGGGUUCCCGUGCGGGAUGCCUCCCAAUUUCAUGCUUGAGGGUCCUGCUCCAACCUUUGCUUCUAUGCCGACAUCUAGCCCGGUCCUUGUUGUUCCUCCGCCUGUCGUGCAUACCAUGCCUAGGGUAGACGACACCAUCUAUCAUUCUGAGCCGUCUGAAGGCCCAGAUGUCCAUGAGAAGAUGGACGCUAUGAACGACCAAUUUCUUGAGCUUCACAAGGAAUUGAAGACUCUUAGAGGAAAGGAUCUGUUUGGCAAGUCUACUGCCGAUCUGUGCUUGUUUCCCAAUGUGAAGAUCCAUGUGAAAUUCAAGGUCCCUGACUUUGAAAAAUACAAGGGGAACACCUGUCCUCUUAGCCACUUGGUCAUGUAUGCCAGGAAGAUGUCAACUCAGACUGAUAAUGACCAAUUGCUCAUCCACUACUUUCAGGACAGUCUGUCCGAUGCCGCUCUGCGCUGGUAUAUGGGGCUGGACAGUGCGAACAUCCGAUCCUUCAACGAUCUUGGCGAGGCCUUCGUCAAGCAAUACAAGUAUAAUAUGGAUAUGGCUCCCGAUAGGGAUCAAUUGAGGGCCAUGUCCUAGAAGGACAAAGAAACAUUUAAAGAGUAUGCCCAAAGUUGGCGAGAGUUGGCAGCACAGAUCGUGCCUCCGCUAGAAGAGAAGGAAAUGACCAAGAUUUUUCUGAAGACCUUGAGUUCAUUCUAUUACGAGCGGAUGAUUGCUAGCGCUCCUUCUGACUUCACCGAUCGUGCCUCCGCUAGAAGAGAAGGAAAUGACCAAGAUUUUUCUGAAGACCUUGAGUUCAUUCUAUUACGAGCGGAUGAUUGCUAGCGCUCCUUCUGACUUCACCGAGAUGGUGAAUAUGGGGAUGCGAUUAGAAGAAGGGGUUAGAGAAGGACGUCUGACCAAAGAAGAAGGCUCUUCUGCCAAACGUUAUGGGGCGUUUGCAAAGAAGAAGGAUGGAGAGGCACAUGCUGUAACCUCCCAUGUGAAACCUAGAAGACCCUCUGUGAGGAGGAAGACCAUGCGUCCCGCUGGUAACCAGCACCAGGUGGCUCACAUAGCACCUGUUUUCAGAGACAAUCAAAAGUAUCAGCAACAUAGCAACAUAGCAACAAUCAACAAUCACCUCAGCAAUACCAACAACAACAGCACCGUCCGCAACAGCAGGCCUAUCAUCCUUGAAACAGUAAUCAAACCAGCACGAGUUACGAGAGGAAAAAGGUCACUUUUGAUCCGAUUCCGAUGACGUACGUAGAACUAUAUCCCUCUUUGAUAAAGAGGAAGUUGAUUACUCCGAGAGACCCACCAGCUAUACCUGCUAACCCUCAGUGGUGGUAUAAACCUGAAUUGCACUGUGUAUACCAAUCUGGUGCUCCCGGCCACGACGUGGAGAAUUGCUAUCCUUUGAAGACCAAGGUUCAAGACCUUGUGAGGUGUGGCAUCCUGUGUUUUGAGGACGUAGGUCCUAAUGUGAAGAAGAACCCAUUGCCCGAAGGUUCAAGACCUUGUGAGGUGUGGCAUCCUGUGUUUUGAGGACGUAGGUCCUAAUGUGAAGAAGAACCCAUUGCCCGAGCAUGGGAAAUCUGUUAACAUGGUCCAGGGCUGCCCUGGCAAGUACAAGGUCAAACAUGUCAGUCAUAUCCGACAGUCUCUGGUCGAGAUGCAUCGUUUGCUAUGUGAGUACAGUCACUAUGAACACGAUCAUGAUAGAUGCCGAAUAUGCCCUGUUAACCGAUUGGGUUGUCGCCAGGUGCGCAAAGAUCUUCAGGAAAUGCUGGACGAAGGAGUUAUUGAGAUCCUUCAGAAUAGGAAUGUUGACGAAGAUGAGCCUGAGGUCAACGUAAUUUCCCCAGUAUUCCGGAUGCCCGAGCCUGUUAUCGUUAAGUAUGAUGGUAGCAAGCAGAAGGUUUCCCCUUCCCUGAUCAUUAAGCCUGCCGGUCCAGUACCGUAUUCCUCUGAAAAAGCCAUUCCCUUCCGUUACAAGGUUGUUGCUGUAGAAGGUGAGAAAGAGGUGUCUUUACCAUCCUCCUCCGUUGUAAAUAUUGCUGACGUAAGUGGUUUGACCCGCAGCGGUGUGUGUUUUCAGCACCACCGAAGCCUCAAGCUAGUACUGAUGUUGUUGAACGCCCGAUUGGGAAUGUUGUAAGCACCCCAAAUCCGGCACCUGUUGUUAAGCCCUCCUCUAUACUAAAAACUCCUACUUCUGUUGGCCCUAGCGGCAAUGUGAAAGAAGACUGUGAUGAGAUGCUGAGGCUCAUCAAGAAGAGUGAGUACAAUGUUGUAGACCAGCUUCUACAAACGCCAUCCAAGAUAUCCGUGUUAUCAUUACUCCUGAAUUCAGAACCACAUAGGGAGGCUCUGCAGAAAGUUUUGGAUGUGGCAUAUGUAGAUCAUGAUGUCACAAUAGAACAGUUCGAUAGCAUUGUUGCAAACAUUUCUGCUUAUAACAAUUUGAGUUUCUGUGACUCUGAUCUCCCUGAGGAGGGAAGAGACCACAACUUGGUUUUACACAUAUCCAUGAAUUGUAGAGACGACGCCAUGUCCAAUGUACUGGUGGACACUGGGUCAUCCCUGAAUGUAUUGCCAAAAACCACUCUCUCAAAACUGUCUUAUCAAGGGCCUCCCAUGAGGCAGAGUGGGGUAGUUGUGAAAGCUUUCGAUGGGUCUCGAAAGACUGUGAUUGGGGAAGUUGAUCUCCCUAUCAAGAUUGGACCAAGUGAUUUCCAAAUUACCUUCCAGGUUAUGGAUAUUCACCCAUCGUACAACUGUCUCCUAGGCAGACCAUGGAUUCACGAGGCAGGCGCCGUGACAUCCACCCUACACCAGAAGCUGAAAUUUGUGAAGAAUAAGAAACUGGUAGUGGUAGGGGGAGAAAAGGCUCUCCUGGUUAGCCACUUGUCUUCCUUCUCGUACAUAGAUGCUGAAGAUGAAGUUGGAACUCCUUUCCAAGCUUUAUCUAUAGCUGAGCCUAUUGAGAAGAGAAUUCCUUCAUUUACUUCCUAUAGAGAUGCAAAGUGGGCCAUUGAGUGUGGUGCAAUUGCUGGUCUAGGAAAAAUGAUUGAGCUGGAAGACAAUAAGUCCCUGGCUGGCAUUGGCUUUUCUUCUGGGGUCUUCAAUGAGAAAGGGCUGUUCAAGAGUGGAGGUUUUAUCCACACCAGUCAGGAUGAGGAAGUUGUUGCUGUCUUGGAAGAGGAUGUAGAGGAUUCUGGCAAUUUCAUCAUCCCUGGAGGGAUCUGCUACAAUUGGGUCGCUGUGGAUAUUCCUACAGUUGUCCACAAGUCCACGUAAUGAUCACUUUGUUAAAAAACCCUUCUCCCAUGCCAAAAGGAGGAGUGAUGACAUUGUUGGCAACAUAAAUACAAUGAUAUUUUCAUUCAAUAAAUUCAUGUUAAAUGUUUGUUUUUCCAAUUAUUUUCCCUUUUUGCUUUUUGCAUGAAAUUGGUGAUCACAUAAAACCCUAAAAAUAGAAUAAAAUCAAUCUUUUCAUCUGCAUAAUGAUUUGCCUUGUUUGAUUUCUAAAAGCUUUUCAUAUCCAAAAUCAUUAUGCAGGUUGAUCAAACCCAUUGAACAUAAUGAUCCGACACCAUCUCCUAAUUUUGAAUUCCCUGUAUUUGAGGCAGAGGAAGAUGAUGUUGAGGAGAUUCCUGACGAGAUUACCCGUCUACUUGAGCAUGAAGAGAAGAUCAUUCAGCCGCAUCUUGAGAAUCUGGAAACAGUGAACUUGGGGUCUGAGGAUUGUGUGCGAGAAGUGAAGAUUGGGGCACUCCUGGAAGAAUAUGUUAAGAAGGGGUUGAUUGAAUUGCUACGAGAAUAUGUCGAUAUCUUCGCUUGGUCGUAUGAAGACAUGUCGGGUCUAGAUACAGAUAUUGUGCAACAUUACCUACCCUUGAAGCCUGAGUGCAUGCCUGUGAAGCAGAAGCUCAGAAGAACUCAUCCUGAUAUGGCAUUGAAGAUCAAAGAAGAAGUUCAGAAGAAAAUUGAUGCGGGGUUUCUGGUGACUUCUACAUAUCCUCAAUGGGUGGCCAAUAUUGUGCCCGUGCCUAAGAAAGACGGAAAAGUCCGGAAGUGUGUGGACUAUAGAGACUUGAAUAAAGCUAGUCCGAAAGAUGAUUUCUCUCUACCACAUAUUGAUAUGUUGGUCGACAAUACAGCUAAAUUCAAAGUCUUCUCAUUUAUGGACGGAUUUUCUGGAUAUAAUCAGAUUAAGAUGGCACCCGAGGAUAUGGAGAAGACAACAUUCAUCACACCUUGGGGAACAUCGAGUGAUGCCCUUCGGUUUGAAGAACGCCGGAGCCACGUAUCAACGAGCUAUGACCACCUUGUUUCAUGAUAUGAUGCACAAGGAGAUUGAGGUAUAUGUUGAUGAUAUGAUUGCUAAGUCAACAACGGAAGUGGAACAUGUAGAGCACUUGUUGAAGCUUUUUCAACGUUUGAGGAAGUACAAGCUUCGUCUGAAUCCCAACAAGUGUACAUUUGGAGUCCGUUCUGGCAAGUUAUUGGGCUUUAUUGUCAGCGAAAGAGGUAUUGAGGUUGAUCCUGCACAAUACAAGAGAUGCCUGCGCCCAAAACUGAGAAGCAAGUCCGAGGUUUUCUUGGCCGCUUGAAUUAUAUUUCCAGAUUCAUAUCCCACAUGACUGCCACAUGUGCGCCGAUAUUCAAGCUCCUUCGAAAAGAUCAUUCCCAUGAUUGGACCGAGGAUUUCCAGAAAGCUUUCGAUAGUAUCAAAGAGUAUCUGUCUGAACCUCCAAUCCUGUCUCCGCCUGUAGAAGGAAGACCAUUGAUCAUGUAUUUGACUGUCCUUGAAGAUUCAAUGGGUUGUGUCCUUGGUCAGCAAGAAUAAUCAGGGAAGAAAGAGUAUGAUAUUUACUACCUAAGUAAGAAGUUCACUGAUUGUGAGUCUCGAUACUCAAUGCUUGAGAAGACAUGCUGUGUUUUGGCUUGGGCCGCUAAGCGUCUACGCCGGUAUAUGAUAAAUCAUGCAACUUGGUUUAUAUCCAGAAUGGAUCCAAUCAAGUACAUAUUUGAGAAGCUUGCUUUAACCGGGAGGAUUGCCCGUUGGCAGAUGUUGUUGUCUGAGUAUGAUAUUGAGUAUCGAGCUCAGAAGGCUAUUAAAGGUAGUAUCUUGGCUGACCACUUGGCACAUCAGCCGAUUGAGGAUUAUCAGUCAGUUCAGUAUGACUUCCCAGAUGAGGAGAUUCUAUAUUUGAAAAUGAAAGAUUGUGAUGAGCCUACACUCAAUGAAGGGCCAGAGCCUGGUUCCAGAUGGGGUAUGGUAUUUGAUGGCACUGUAAAUCAGUAUGGAAAUGGUAUUGGGGCAGUAAUCAUUAAUCCUCAGGGCAUACACAUUCCCUUUACAGCAAGGCUAACUUUCAAAUGCACGAAUAAUAUGGCUGAGUACGAGGCCUGUAUUAUGGGAUUGGAAGAAUGCAUUGAUCUAAGGAUCAAGCAUCUUGAUGUUUAUGGUGAUUCGGUCCUCGUUGUCAAUCAGAUCAAGGGUGAAUGGGAGACGAAUCAGCCUGGUCUUAUUCCAUAUAGGGAUUACGCGAGGAGGACUUCAACGUUCUUUACUGAGGUUGACUUCCAUCAUAUUCCUCGAGAUGAGAAUCGGAUGGCAGACGCUCUUGCUACGCUUGCUUCGAUGAUUGUGGUUAAACUGUGGAAUGAAGUUCCCAAUAUCACCGUGAUGCGCUUGGAUAGACCAACUCAUGUAUUUGCAGUUGAAUAAGUGAAGGAUGAUAAACCAUGGUAUUAUGACAUCAAGUGCUUCCUCCAGAACCAGGUUUAUCCGCCCGGGGCAUCUGUGAAAGAUAGGAAGACUUUGAGAAGAUUGUCAGGCAGUUUCUACCUCAAUGGAGAAGUGCUUUAUAAGAGAAAUUUUGAUAUGGUUCUACUCAGAUGCGUGGAUAGACACGAAGCAGACCUGUUGAUGACUGAAGUCCAUGAGGGUUCAUUUGGUACUCAUUCCAAUGGACAUGCCAUGGCUAGAAAGAUGUUGAGGGCAGGCUACUAUUGGCUGACAAUGGAGUCUGACUGCUGCAAAUAUGUGAAGAAAUGCCACAAGUGUCAGAUUUAUGCGGAUAAGAUUCAUAUUCCUCCGACACUUCUGAAUGUGAUUUCAUCACCAUGGCCUUUCUCUAUGUGGGGAAUUGACAUGAUCGGCAUGAUUGAGCCGAAAGCGUCCAAUGGACACAGGUUUAUUCUCGUAGCAAUUGAUUACUUCACUAAGUGGGUUGAAGCGGCGUCAUAUGCAAAUGUGACCAGGCAGGUGGUCGUGAAGUUUAUCAAGAAUCAACGCAUAUUCCGUUAUGGUGUGCCAGAUAAGAUCAUUACUGAUAAUGGAUCUAACUUAAAUAACAAGAUGAUGAAAGAGUUGUGUAGUGAGUUCAAGAUUGCACACCAUAGUUCUUCUCCUUAUAGACCCAAGAUGAAUGGGGUUGUUGAAGCUGCUAACAAGAAUAUCAAGAAAAUUAUCCAAAAGAUGGUUGUUACGUACAAAGAUUGGCAUGAGAUGCUGCCAUUUGCUUUGCAUGGAUAUCGUACAUCUGUCCGCACUUCAACAGGGGCAACCCAUUUCUCUCUUGUUUAUGGCAUGGAGGCUGUACUCCCAGUAGAGGUGGAGAUCCCAUCAAUAAGAGUCUUGAUGGAAGCCAAGUUGACUGAUGCUGAAUGGGUUCAGAGUCGCUAUGACCAGCUGAAUUUGAUUGAAGAGAAGAGAUUGACUGCCAUGUGCCAUGGUCAUUUAUAUCAUCAGAGAAUGAAGAAAGCUUUUGAUAAGAAGGUCAAGCCUCGUGUGUUCCGAGAAGGUGACCUCGUGCUCAAGAAGGUCUUGUCUUUCGCGCCCGAUUCCAGGGGAAAAUGGACUCUAAACUAUGAAGGUCCAUAUGUUGUUAAGAGAGCCUUUUCAGGCGGUGCUUUGAUGCUUACAACUAUGGAUGGGGAGGAUUUCACUCGUCCUGUGAAUUCAGAUGCAGUCAAUAAAUACUUCGCCUAAAAAUAAAAACAGAAUAACUCGCUAAGUUGAAAACCCGAAAGGGCGGCUUAGGAAAAAAUGAGCGUCUCGGUGGAUUGAAAACCCGAAAGGGCGAUCUAGGCAAAAGUUAGAGACAUAAAAAAUGAAUAUAUGCAUCCCGCUAGAUUGAGUACCUCAUCCUAGGGCAAUCUAGGAAAAAAUUAGGGAUUUGGCAAGUAACUGCAUCCUGACAAGACUGUGUUCUACAACUGUCAUCCAUCAGAGAUUCUUGUUCAUUCGUCGUCAACCAAAGCUUCGAAUACAUCGAAUUCAGAAUUGAUGGAGAAAUGGUCAUUAUGUUCAAUGUAGCCCUUUUCCAAUAUAUAUCACCAAUUUCAAACUUGUAAAAAAUCUUUGGGGUCUUGCCAUUUGCAGGCUACCAUUCCAUCAAAUAAAUUCGAGCCUUUAUCCAAUUAUUUGCACUCCUAUUUGUUUCUAUUUCAACAAAUGUUUUGCAUUUUUUUAAUUGAGAAAAUAUCAUUGUUUUAAAUAAAUGAGUUUUCCAUAACUUGUUUUUUAAACAAAGUGAACAUUCACAAUGACAAAAGGAUACUUAGGAGAUCCUCAGUGCUCUCCCAAGGGUGGUAUGAUCCCCAACAGGGUAAGACAUUUGUUCAUAUCCCUGGCAUGACUGUAUCUUCUUCCUCCGGAGCCCCUUUUAUGGUUCAUCCCCGAGUGGUAUGCUUGUUGAGAUGUUCACCACUCUCCCCUUCAGCGGAAGAGCGAUCUUUUCUCCUCAGCAGGUGUGAUCUCCUUGGUGAGUUUGGUACUUGGUGUCGGAUCACCAGAUUCCUCUUAUAUCCCUCAGAUGGAUUCCCCAGUAGAGUUGCUUUUGUGGCAGUUUCUGCCUGUGCAAUGAACUUUUUUCCCCAGCCGGAUUGACUGAUGAUUCAUCCCCCAGAGAUUUUGUGAUUUCCUGGUAUCUCUGAUUCCCCGGCAGAUUGGAUACUCUCCAUUGGAAUUUUGGGCUUCCUCCCUUGAGAUGUAGUACCGGACGGCUGUGUGCCUUUUCCUUUGGAGUUGUUUGUGUUAGAAUGUCUGUUUGUCAGCAUUCAUCAUACAUAAAUCACGCAUAUGUGCAUAUAUCCUUCAUAACAUUUAGAUAUUCAUAUUGCAUUUUUUGCCAUAUAUCUAUUGUUUGUUAUCCUCUGCUAGUUGGUAAUACAUUUCCCAAGCAGAUGUCGGUGUCUGAUCCCUCAAUAUAGAGUCAGCCCCUUUAAGCAGAAAGUGUUUAUCUUUCCUACCAUAUUCCCCACUGAGUUAUAUCCUCGUGGACGACGGUUGUUUCUGCUUCCUCCCAACACAUAUAUCGGGAUGGGUUCCCCUAUUGAGUUAUAUCCUCAUUAGGAUGAGUCUCGAUUCAGUUUGCCUUUUUGGUUUGAUCCUAAAUUGGCCUCUUGUGACUGUCUUUGGUGUUUCCCUGUGGUAAAUGAAUAAUAUCGAUUCAGUUUGCCUUUUUGGUUUGAUCCUAAAUUGGCCUCUUGUGACUGUCUUUGGUGUUUCCCUGUGGUAAAUGAAUAAUUGCUCAGUAAUCAGUAAUUAUUCACCUUAUCCUCAGCGGAGUUUGUGGUUUUCUACCCUUAUACCGGUAGAUAUAAACCCUAUUUUUCCCCCUUUGCAGAGUUAACCAUUGUUGUUCAUCCUAGUUGAUGACGGUUACUCUUCCGUGGUUUUCUACCUAGUAUCCGGUAGAUGUAAUCCCCUCUUUGACGGUUAACAUUAUCCAACAUUCGGUAUUGAUAUUCCCUCAUUCUUUUGGAUAAUUGCUCUGAUUAAGCAAUUUUAUCCCCAGCGGGUCCUCUUUCAUUUACCGUUUACCGGUGAUGUUUGUUGCUCCCCUUGUUUGGUCAUCAUUAUAUAACUAGUUUUGGUAUCCCGAUGCCUUUCUCUGUCGGUCGAUUUAUCCUUUAUUAACCCAGUAACCGGUUGUGGAUAAUCUUCCAUGCGAGUAUUUUAUCUACGUUCCGACGGUAAUAGAUAAUAUAUCUCAUGCACUCUUUGGUCGAAGCCUUUUGUUCUUCCCCAAUCGAGUAAGAUUCGUAUUCUUGUUUUAGAAUCAAAUGUCCAUCCCAUAAUCGAGUUUGCAUUCUGUCCUCUUUUUGGAUGAUGAGUGUUUUGGGAAUAUUCCCCAAUUCAUGCUUUGUUUGGUCAUCAUUAUAUACCUAGUUUUGGUAUCCCGAUGCCUUUCUCCGUCGGUCGAUUUAUCCUUUAUUAACCCAGUAAUCGGUUGUGGAUAAUCUUCCAUGCGAGUAUAUUAUCUAUGUUCCGACGGUAAUAGAUAAUAUAUCUCAUGCACUCUUUGGUCGAAGCCUUUUGUUCUUCCCUAGUCGAGUAAGAUUCGUAUUCUUGUUUUAGAAUCAAACGUCCAUCCCAUAAUCGAAUUUGCGUUCUGCCCUCUUUUUGGAUGAUGAGUGUUUUGGGAAUAUUCCCCAAUUCAUGCUUUGUUUGGUCAUCAUUAUAUACCUAGUUUUGGUAUCUCGAUGCCUUUCUCUGCCGGUCGAUUUAUCCUUUAUUAACCCAGUAACCGGUUGUAGAUAAUCUUCCAUGCGAGUAUAUUAUCUACGUUCCGACGGUAAUAGAUAAUAUAUCUCAUGCACUCUUUGGUCGAAGCCUUUUGUUCUUCCCCAGUCGAGUAAGAUUUGUAUUCUUGUUUUAGAAUCGAAUGUCCAUCCCAUAAUCGAGUUUGCGUUCUGCCCUCUUUUUGGAUGAUGAGUGUUUUGGGAAUAUUCCCCAAUUCAUGCUUUGUUUGGUCAUCAUUAUAUACCUAGUUUUGGUAUCCCGAUGCCUUUCUCUGUCGGUCGAUUUAUCCUUUAUUAACCCAGUAACCGGUUGUGGAUAAUCUUCCAUGCGAGUAUAUUAUCUAUGUUCCGACGGUAAUAGAUAAUAUAUCUCAUGCACUCUUUGGUCGAAGCCUUUUGUUCUUCCCCAGUCGAGUAAGAUUCGUAUCCCUGUUUUGGAAUCGAAUGUCCAUCCCAUAAUCGAGUUUGCUUUCUGCCCUCUUUUUGGAUGAUGAGUGUUUUGGGAAUAUUCCCCAAUUCACGCUUUGGUUGGUCACCUAUUAUAUGCCCAGUAACCGGUAUCCCUGGUGUUCCUUCCUUCUGCUCCCUAUUAUGACUUUUUUCCCCUGUGGAGUCAGAUUUUCCUGAGUUGAGAUAUACCUUUUAGGUCUUCCUCAGAUGAUUUGGUUGAUUGAUAUCUCUCACCCUUAUACCGGUCUUAGAUAUUCAUUCUUCCCGAGCUUGUUGUUCUCUCACCCUUAUACCGGUGAUCAGAUCACAUGUCUCAUUGAGCUUGUUACCCAGUAACCGGUAACACCUCAUCCCGCUGCUUCCCCAGGAGAGUCUUUUUAGACAUCCCCAGCGAGGUAUCUGUUGUGGAUCGCUUUUUGCUGUGUUGGCAUAUUCCCAAAUACAUGCAUCUUUGAGUCAGCUCGAGUCUUUCCAACGGAUUUAUUCCCUUUGGAGGCCCUUUUCCCCAGCUUUGAGUCGUGACCUGCUCACGCGGUUUCAGUCCUUUACUCCCCCGUAGAGUCCCUUCCCCAUGGAGUGGAUAACUCAUAGGGAUUAUCAAAUUUCUUCGGAUGUCUUUUCUUCUUUGUGGACACAUAUCCCCACAGAGUUUUGUUUGUUUUGCAUACAUACAUUGGCAUUAUGAAGUCUCUUAGGGACCAAAAUUUGUCUCUUUGUUAUUAUUUAAGCCCAUUCUACUUCGUCGAGACGAAGAUUUUAACCUUCACUUCUCCGGCUAGAAUGACCUUAAAUAGGGGCAUCUGUAAGACCCCAAUUUUGUCCCUAAGAUCCCUCAUGGCAUCAUAACAUUGCAUUGCAUAGUCUCAAGGAUCAUUGAGCAUCUUGGCUCCCUUUCCCUUUGGGUAGGGAUCUCUUGUGAGUGGUUUGAGAUCACCAAGCAUGCUUGAAUUGUAUAUCAUUGCUUUUCUCAUUUUGUUUACUAACCAAAAGCACAAAAAUAUGUCACUAACAUCUUUUGUUUGUAGCUUAAGCAAUCACCAGGUCAAGAGUUUCAAGAAGAUCCUUUGUGCAAGAGAUGAGGUAUUUCCUUGGGAUGAGGAUCACAUGAUUAAUAUAAGGAGCUUAUAUGAGCUAGGGUUUCAUUUUGAAGCAAUUUCACCAAGUGGUAGAGGCACAAGUUAAUCAAGACAUUUCAAGGUCAUCUGAGGACCAAAAGUCAACUGUGCAGUCAACUGAGGGCUAGGAGGUGGGGAAAAGAGUUGAGACACCUCAAUCAUGUUCAAAUGGGGUCUAUUCAUCAUUCUAAACAUCCAUCUUGAAUAUUCAAAGGUCAUGGCAAAAGUUACUAAAAAUGGAAAAUGACCUAUAAUUCGAAGUUUCCAAAUUUGGCAAGUUUUUGGUCCACCUUCAACUUGACUUGUCAAUAUCAAAGAUGUUUCAAAUGUAUUUUUGGUGAACAUGAAAUUUGUAGAUCUUUGUCUCCCCUUUCCAAAAAGUCCUAAUUCAUGUCCAUAUGAUGAAUGGUUGAAAAGUUAUGGUCAUUUGAUCACAAAGUGUGCAUGGAAAUUCAAAAUGGCAUAACUUUUGAUGUAAUGCUUCAAAUUGGUUCAUUCUUUUGGCAAAAUGCUUCUCAUGUUCAAGACAUCUCAAAAUGAGAUUUUCCAUGCAUGGGAAAAGUGUGCAUGCUCAUUAUUUCAUACAUGUGCAAAUUGAAGAAAAUAUUCACCAUUCAUUUUUGGCUUAAGAUGCAAGCUAACAAAUACUCAAAGCAUGACCAUUGGAUGUUCUUAAGUGGAUUUAAGCCUUAACAUGGAGCUGAUCACAUGUAUUAUGGGCAUGUGAGCUCAUUUUACAUUUUUGUAAAUUGCUUCAUAACUCCUUAAUCAUGAUUAACCAAUGGAAAAUAUGAUUAACAUUGUCAUUAGCAUGGGAUAUAAAUACUGAAACCCUAAUCAUAACUGCAAAGAACCACCAUUUUCAGAUCUGAAAUUCAAGAACUCUCCAAAAUUCUCUCUCUUUGAAUUUGAUUUUUCUUCACACAAUUCUCAAAGAUCAUUGCAUAUUUUUGUUCCUGGUGCUUCACUGAGCAAGAUUCAUCCACUAUUUGGUGCGAUUCAUCAAGGAAUCGAGCAAUACAAGAGCAUGAACAUGGCAAUCGGAUUUGGAAAUUGAAGUAGAUUCAAGAGGAUUCAACCGUUCAUUUUUGCUUAAAGUUUCAUAGGAAGAUCAUAGGAGAAGAUCUGGAGCUGUAGAGCUUGAGAGAACACAUUUUCAAAAAGCUUCAUUUCCAGGUGAUGCAAUUUUCGAUCUCUCCUUUUGCUGUUUUUUGAACAUAGAACUGUAGAUCUUGUUGAGUAGAGCACAAGUAUGUGUUUAGAUUUGGAAUUGAGUGAGAAUUGAGAAUGUUAGGUUGAUUGGAAGUUUGGAUCUAGAAAAUAUUUCUCUUCGAUCUGUAGAAUCUAUGAGGAAUUAGGGAAAUCUAAGGUCAUAUUUGGAACCUACGUUGGGAGACGAGUCAAACGGUAUAGGACUCGUGAGAUUCUGGAAAAUUUUGGGUGGCGCCACCGUGAGGCUUGCCGGAGAAGACGACCGGAGCUGUAGCUCCGGCGUCUGUAUCAUUUUAGGGUUUGAUGAUGUGUACUACCAUGUGUUCCAUUGCGUGGACAAGCGAUUGGAUGUUGUUGCUUUGACUGAGCCACGCGUGCGUUGAAGCGCUGAGUGGCAUGCUGACUGGUUUAAGUGAAACGGCGCGUUUUGAUGUUUAAACCUGGACCAUUGAUCUGGAGCGCGCGCCAGAUCUGAUGGUUGUGGAUUUUUCUGGUUUUAUUCAAAUUAAUUCGUUUCCCUCCAUUUUCAUUUGAUUAUUCAACUAUUUUGCUUGUUUUGUAAAAUUCAUAAAAGAUGCAAAAAUGAUCCAAAUGAGUCCCAAUUUAUUUUCAUGGUUUUGUAUGGAUGUCUACUUUUUUAUGGUGCUGAUUUCAUGAAUUGUUGAUGUCUGGAUUUUUAUUUGUGAAUUUUUGAAUGAACAUUGUGCUAAUUUGAUCUAUUGCAUUCAAUGCAUUGUGAAAUCCUCAUCUUUGAGCCAUCUGAUCCAAUUUUUUGCAUACAUGACAUUCAUACAUAAUAUGAAUAAAUGAACAUUGUGCUAAUUUGAUCUAUUGCAUUCAAUGCAUUGUGAAAUCCUCAUCUUUGAGCCAUCUGAUCCAAUUUUUUGCAUACAUGACAUUCAUACAUAAUAUGAAUUAUUGGUCACUGGUUUUGAAUUUUUCUCACAGGUUAUCAUCAUUUUUGACACAUAGGGAAUAAUGUGACAAUUUGUGUCACAUUUUUGACAUUGAAUUGGUGCAUUUUUGUUCACAUAACAUUUGCAUCAUUCUGGAUUUGAUUUUUUGCAUGAUGAUUAUUCAUGACAUGAGGAACUUGUAAAAAAAAUCUCAAAGUCAUUGCGUGCAUUUCUGAUUUGGUAUGAAUUUUCUAAGUUGGAAGUUUAUUUUGUGCAUAUUUUUGGUCAUUGCAUGGCAUAGACAAUUAGAGGCAUUUGAUUUUUUGAUUUGAUGCUGGUCCUUUUGAGGACAUUUAGUGGAGUGUUGGAAGGUGUAAUGUGUAGAAGAUUGGGUUCUGGUUUGGUCAUUUGGUUAGGUUUUGAAUUCAUCUCUUAUGCUUUUGUUUGUUGGUGUUUUAUUGUGUUGUUUAAAUGCACAUAGACUAACUUUGUCUUGUGUUUCAGGUUUGGAUACUCAUCAUUGAUCUUGUGAGAUACAAAUGCAUUUGAGUACUGACCUAUUGUUGUUUUGUAGGGUUUUAACUGAUGUGGUGAACUCAUGAGCUCAUUUGAGUGCUAGGGCACUUAUGCACUGAAUUGUGUAAUUGUUAGAGGGUUUCACUGUAUGUUUUCUGGUUGUAUGACUGAAGUACUAAUUGUUUAGUCUUUGUACAGGUACUUUAGUUGCUUGCUUGCUUUAGCUCUUGCUUAAGCUUUGGAUUAUGGUUGACACACCACUCAGGUAAUUAGCUUCUUACUUCAUGUAGUCUGAAGUCCUGUCACCUUUUUGGCAGGCAUUUUGCUGGCAAGUCCUCCUUCAGAGGCUCUGUUUGUGUUUGUUUAAAAUUGUGCUCAAAGACCUCCAAGAAGAGGCAUGUGAUAUUUGAUAAGACCUCCAAGAGAAGAGGAAAUUGACGGAUAAAAGGGAUUAGUAGCCAAUCCCCCGUUAUUCAAUGUGUCGUUCUUUAUGCUCGCACUACGUGCUGAUGCUUCUGAACAUGUGCCCNNNNNNNNNNNNNNNNNNNNNNNNNNNNNNNNNNNNNNNNNNNNNNNNNNNNNNNNNNNNNNNNNNNNNNNNNNNNNNNNNNNNNNNNNNNNNNNNNNNNAAAUUCAACAAAAACAGUAAUAAUACACAGAAAACUCAAAAUAAAAACAAACCCUACAAUUCAACAAACUCCUCAAUCUUCCUUCAUUUCAUCGCCAUGGGUUGCACCACCUCCUGCACCCCCAAAAAAAAACUGGCCUGCCCUCGGGCCACUUAGCAUAAUCAACAUAAUCCUCCUAGGAAGGGAAUGAAGAGGAAUAGUUUUGAAAUUUGGAGGUUUGGAAGUGGAGCAGCGAAGUUGUUGAAAGAAUCUCCUAAGUUUGUGAAAAUAGGAAUGAAACGAAAAUGACAUAAAACAGAACUUAAAUGGUUCUGCCACGCUCAGUUCGCUGGGCGAACUCUGUUUGCUAGGCCAACUGAAGGAUUUUUUUUUAUUUUUUAUUUUUUAUUUAUUUUUUUAUAUUCAGUUUGCUGGGCGAAUUGAAGGAAAUUUCAAAAAAAAAUUGUUGGCAGUGGUCAGAACAUAAGUGGUUUUGUCACGCACCGUUCGCUGGGCGAACUUUGUUCGCGGCGCGAACUGAAGCUUUCCAUUCAGUUCGCUGGGCGAACACUGUUCGCGGGGCGAACGGCAAAAAACAGAACCCAAUUUUUCAAAAUUUAACACAGCAGAAAAUCAAUAAAACAGAAUUGAGAAAAUGUAAAAUUCAGACUUACAACGUUGGGUUGCCUCCCAACAAGCGCUUUGCUUAACGUCGUUUAGAGCUCGACGGUUCAACGGUCUUCACGAUCCGCCUUUGUUGAGAAACUUCCUCAAGGGCUUUGUUGUCUUCAAGAGGUUCUUGAUGAACCUUCGAUAAAAUCUGAUACCACCCGUUUUCGGAACUACUUGCACAACACUCACCCAUUCACCAUCGGAGAUAGAACAAAUCAAUCAUUAGUCCAUCAUCAAUAUCAAUCAUCAUUCGGGCCGUUUUCAUGAAUGGUCUUCCAAGAAUUAUAGGAACCUCACGAUCCUCAUCCAUGUCUACUAUCACAAAAUCUACCGGAAACAAGAAUUUUUCCACCUUCACUAACAUGUCUUGAGCAACUCCAUAUGGUGAAGUAGUAGACUUAUCAGCUAGUUGUAAAGUCAUCCUUGUAGAUUUGAUCUCAACAUUUCCCAAUAUUUUGACAAUGGAUAGGGGAAUUAAAUUAAUGCUAGAUCCCAAGUCAAUCAAGCCAUUACCAAUAUAGGUGUCUCCAAUGGUUACCGGUAAAACGACUCGGCGCGGAUCAGAUUCCUUCCUUGGGAGAUUCUUUUGAAUGAUGGCACUACAACGUGCAUCGAGCAAGAUUGUCUCGUCUUCCACAUGUCUUCUUUUCUUUGUGAGAAUAUCCUUCAUGAACUUUGCAUACCGUGACAUUUGCUCUAAUGCAUCAGCAAAUGGAAUAUUGAUUUGAAGUUGUUUGAAUAUGUCCAUAAACCGUGCAUAGUGUCUAGCAUUAUCCUUCUUUGAUGGUGCGUGCGGAUAAGGUAAAUGUUGAACUGGAAUGACAUUCACUCCUUUGUCUCUUGUUUUCUUUUUUCUUGGUUUAAUUUCCUUCUUCAUUUCCGCUUCACACUGCUGUUCUUCCAUCAAUUGCUGAUUCUGCUGUUUUCACGGCGCGAACUGAGCAGUUUGUGCCACUUUCUCCUUCCCACAAGCCACAUCCUCAUUUUCCAGCACAUCAUCCAUAUCAUUCUCAAUUGUAAUUUCCUCACUUUUUUUACUUGUCAACUCUCUACCGCUUCUAGUAAAAAUUGCUUUACAAUGCUCCUUUGGAUUAGUUUGAGUGUUAGCGGAGAAAGAAGAUCCUGCAGUUUGUUCCGACAGUACAAUGCUCCUUUGGAUUAGUUUGAGUGUUAGCGGAGAAAGAAGAUCCUGCAGUUUGUUCCGACAGUUGUUUCGCAAGUUGACCUAUUUGAUUUUCCAAAUUCUUGAUUGCUGCCUCGUUGCUCUUCUCAUUUGCCAUGGAGGCUUGCAUGAAUUGUUGGAGAGUGUCUUCUAGCUUUGAAUUUCCUCCUUGCGAUUGUUGUCCUUGAGAAUUUGGGUGUUAAUAAGGACUUUGCUGCUGAAAACUUUGGUUGUUGAACCUUGAUGGUUGAUAACCUUGAUUGUUCCUUUGAUAGCCUUGAUUUUGAUUGUUCACAUAGCUCACUUCUUCUAGUGGAGGGCAAAAACCAGUCGGAUGAUCUCCUUGGCAUAAUUCGCAACAUGCUACUUGAUGUCGAACUUGAGACCCUUGAAUUUCCUUCAUUUGCUGUGGAAGCUUGGCCAUUUGUUGAGUAAGCAACUCCACUUGUUGAGAGAGUAGCUUGUUUUGAGUAAGAAUGGCAUCAUUGGUAUUUAACUCAAGAACUCCCGAUUUCCGUUGUGAAGGGCUACGGUCAUGUUGACUUCGACGAUCAUUAAGUGCCAUCCGAUCAAUAAUGACUUUAGCUUCUUCAGCAUUCUUUGACAUAAGAGAGCCACCCGCGGUAGCAUCCAAAAGUGUUCUGUGAGUUGAUUGGAGCCCAUUUAGAAAAAUAUGGAUUUGAGUGAGCUCAUCAAAACCAUGACCCUUGCAUUUUCUCAACAUUGACUUGAAUCUUUCCCAAGCCUCAUUUAAAGACUCGUUGCUUCCUUGAGUGAAUACCGCAAUAGCCGUUUUGGCUUCCAUGAAUCGGGAUUGAGGGAAAUAUCUUUCUAAGAACUUUUCUUCUANNNNNNNNNNNNNNNNNNNNNNNNNNNNNNNNNNNNNNNNNNNNNNNNNNNNNNNNNNNNNNNNNNNNNNNNNNNNNNNNNNNNNNNNNNNNNNNNNNNNNNNNNNNNNNNNNNNNNNNNNNNNNNNNNNNNNNNNNNNNNNNNNNNNNNNNNNNNNNNNNNNNNNNNNNNNNNNNNNNNNNNNNNNNNNNNNNNNNNNNNNNNNNNNNNNNNNNNNNNNNNNNNNNNNNNNNNNNNNNNNNNNNNNNNNNNNNNNNNNNNNNNNNNNNNNNNNNNNNNNNNNNNNNNNNNNNNNNNNNNNNNNNNNNNNNNNNNNNNNNNNNNNNNNNNNNNNNNNNNNNNNNNNNNNNNNNNNNNNNNNNNNNNNNNNNNNNNNNNNNNNNNNNNNNNNNNNNNNNNNNNNNNNNNNNNNNNNNNNNNNNNNNNNNNNNNNNNNNNNNNNNNNNNNNNNNNNNNNNNNNNNNNNNNNNNNNNNNNNNNNNNNNNNNNNNNNNNNNNNNNNNNNNNNNNNNNNNNNNNNNNNNNNNNNNNNNNNNNNNNNNNNNNNNNNNNNNNNNNNNNNNNNNNNNNNNNNNNNNNNNNNNNNNNNNNNNNNNNNNNNNNNNNNNNNNNNNNNNNNNNNNNNNNNNNNNNNNNNNNNNNNNNNNNNNNNNNNNNNNNNNNNNNNNNNNNNNNNNNNNNNNNNNNNNNNNNNNNNNNNNNNNNNNNNNNNNNNNNNNNNNNNNNNNNNNNNNNNNNNNNNNNNNNNNNNNNNNNNNNNNNNNNNNNNNNNNNNNNNNNNNNNNNNNNNNNNNNNNNNNNNNNNNNNNNNNNNNNNNNNNNNNNNNNNNNNNNNNNNNNNNNNNNNNNNNNNNNNNNNNNNNNNNNNNNNNNNNNNNNNNNNNNNNNNNNNNNNNNNNNNNNNNNNNNNNNNNNNNNNNNNNNNNNNNNNNNNNNNNNNNNNNNNNNNNNNNNNNNNNNNNNNNNNNNNNNNNNNNNNNNNNNNNNNNNNNNNNNNNNNNNNNNNNNNNNNNNNNNNNNNNNNNNNNNNNNNNNNNNNNNNNNNNNNNNNNNNNNNNNNNNNNNNNNNNNNNNNNNNNNNNNNNNNNNNNNNNNNNNNNNNNNNNNNNNNNNNNNNNNNNNNNNNNNNNNNNNNNNNNNNNNNNNNNNNNNNNNNNNNNNNNNNNNNNNNNNNNNNNNNNNNNNNNNNNNNNNNNNNNNNNNNNNNNNNNNNNNNNNNNNNNNNNNNNNNNNNNNNNNNNNNNNNNNNNNNNNNNNNNNNNNNNNNNNNNNNNNNNNNNNNNNNNNNNNNNNNNNNNNNNNNNNNNNNNNNNNNNNNNNNNNNNNNNNNNNNNNNNNNNNNNNNNNNNNNNNNNNNNNNNNNNNNNNNNNNNNNNNNNNNNNNNNNNNNNNNNNNNNNNNNNNNNNNNNNNNNNNNNNNNNNNNNNNNNNNNNNNNNNNNNNNNNNNNNNNNNNNNNNNNNNNNNNNNNNNNNNNNNNNNNNNNNNNNNNNNNNNNNNNNNNNNNNNNNNNNNNNNNNNNNNNNNNNNNNNNNNNNNNNNNNNNNNNNNNNNNNNNNNNNNNNNNNNNNNNNNNNNNNNNNNNNNNNNNNNNNNNNNNNNNNNNNNNNNNNNNNNNNNNNNNNNNNNNNNNNNNNNNNNNNNNNNNNNNNNNNNNNNNNNNNNNNNNNNNNNNNNNNNNNNNNNNNNNNNNNNNNNNNNNNNNNNNNNNNNNNNNNNNNNNNNNNNNNNNNNNNNNNNNNNNNNNNNNNNNNNNNNNNNNNNNNNNNNNNNNNNNNNNNNNNNNNNNNNNNNNNNNNNNNNNNNNNNNNNNNNNNNNNNNNNNNNNNNNNNNNNNNNNNNNNNNNNNNNNNNNNNNNNNNNNNNNNNNNNNNNNNNNNNNNNNNNNNNNNNNNNNNNNNNNNNNNNNNNNNNNNNNNNNNNNNNNNNNNNNNNNNNNNNNNNNNNNNNNNNNNNNNNNNNNNNNNNNNNNNNNNNNNNNNNNNNNNNNNNNNNNNNNNNNNNNNNNNNNNNNNNNNNNNNNNNNNNNNNNNNNNNGGUGAAAAGAUAUCUUCGGCAAAUAUUUUUAUACGUAUCCACAGAGAUUGGUUGAUAUUACCGCCGUUCUAUAAUCCGAUUUGUUAUAAGUUUAGAAAGUAACAAAGUUGUUUUGGUUGGAAAAUUAUCUUGUGAGUAAAUGUCACUAAAAACAGUAAAAUGGUUUUAAUCAAAUGCAAAAGCUUGGCAAGAUUGGAGUUCAAUAUUUCAAAUGCUUAUGAUUCUUUAUGAUAACUAUAUAGAUUUAAGAUUAUUGAUGAUGUUCAAGUAUCCUCUCAAAGUCAUUUAUGUCUAAAUGAUAUUAUGAUAAUCACUAUAUUGAUCCUUAGACGAUCUCUCCACCUAACUAUCAAUAUAUCAAUCUUUAAUGUUUAAUACCAAAGAAGAGUAAUGAAUAAAUCUAUCUCUACAACUUAUUCACUACUUGAAAGUCUAUUUUAUGUCAAGACUCAAAUAAUCUCUUUCAACAACUACUCAAAUCUGGUUUUCAACUUAGGGCAAAAACAAUAUUCAAUACAUCAACAAUCUUUUUCAUAUAUAAAAAUCAAAUGGAAUACAUAAACAAAUGAGAAUAGCUACUACCUCCAAUCUUGACAAAAUGGAGUUUAGCUCCUCAUCAUCAUUGUUACAAAGCAUAAUGUUAAAAAAUGGAAGAAAAACUCUGUUUUUCUCUCUUACAAAAAUAUCUCAAUGUAUCAAUGUGUGAAUAAUUAUGAAUAAUGUGUUUUUCUCCUAAAAGAGUUGACAUUUCCUUAAUUGAUCAUUUCCAUCCAAAGCAGAAAAGCUAUUCCAAGACAAACACCAAAAUGGCAAGACAGCUGGUCAUGAAGGACAGCAGUUUUGGCCCAAAAUCAACUUGCUAGAUUCGCAGCCUUCGCGGCGCGAAGUAGGUUCGCGGCGCGAACUGAAGCUUAUCCAGCUUCCUUGCUUUGCAAGCUUCAUCCAAAAUCUUCCAAUUUGUGAUGUUUCUUUCCAAAAGCUCUUUCAUCUAAAACUUCUACAAAACUAACAAAUUUGUGAAAUAACUAUUCAAAGCAAAAUAAAUUAAAUCUAAUUGCAUUUAUACCAAUUAACAAGAAUACUAGUGUGUAAUUACAUCAAAGUUUGGUAAAAGGGACCAAUAAAAUGAUAUAAAAAGUAGUACUAAUUGGUCCCUAACAGUACGUAGGCACAAGUCCGAAGGUCUUGUCAGACAUAAAAAUAUAAUUAAUGAAUUCCUUUCUCAUCCCCUCACUCUAUUUAUUACAAACAUCAUUUUAUACCAAAACACGCACACACAUAAAAAGGGCUCCCUAGGAGUACCUAGGACACUUUGGGUGCUAACACCUUCCCUCUGUGUAACCAACCCCCUUACCUGUAAUCUCUGGCAUUUUAUUAGUUUUGAUUUGAAAACUUCUUAUCUUUGGGUUUUGUUUGUACUUUUCCCUUUUCCCUUGGAAACAAUAAAAGCGUGGUGGCAACUCUGGUUUUAUUGACGUUAAGUUUAUCCAUAGCUUAAUGGUCAUGAAUUUACCGCUACANNNNNNNNNNNNNNNNNNNNNNNNNNNNNNNNNNNNNNNNNNNNNNNNAAAGCAGAAAAGCUAUUCCAAGACAAACACCAAAAUGCGAAGACAGCUGGUCAUGAGGACAGCAGUUUUGCCCAAAAUCAACUUGCUAGAUUCGCAGCCUUCGCGGCGCGAAGUAGGUUCGCGGCGCGAACUGAAGCUUAUCCAGCUUCCUUGCUUUGCAAGCUUCAUCCAAAACUUCCAAUUUGUGAUGUUUCUUUCCAAAAGCUUCUUCAUCUAAAACUUCUACAAAAACUAACAAAUUUGUGAAAUAACUAUUCAAAGCAAAAUAAAUUAAAUCUAAUUGCAUUUAUACCAAUUAACAGAAUACUAGUGUGUAAUUACAUCAAAGUUUGGUAAAAGGGACCAAUAAAAUGAUAAAAAGUAGUACUAAUUGGUCCCUAACAGUACGUAGGCACAAGUCCGAAGGUCUUGUGACAUAAAAAAUAUAAUUAAUGAAUCCUUCUCAUCCCUCACUCUAUUUAUUACAAACAUCAUUUAUACCAAAACACGCACACACAUAAAAAGGCUCCCUAGGAGUUACCUAGGACACUUUGCGGUGCUAAACACCUUCCCUCUGUGUAACCAACCCCCUUACCUGUAAUCUCUGGCAUUUUAUUAGUUUUGAUUUGAAAACUUCUUAUCUUUGGGUUUUGUUUGUACUUUUCCCUUUUCCCUUGGAAACAAUAAAAGCGUGGUGGCAACUCUGGUUUUAUUGACGUUAAGUUUAUCCAUAGCUUAAUGGUCAUGAAUUUACCGCUACAAAUGCUUGUUGCUGAUACGACUGUUGUUAUGAUGGGUACUAUUGUUGAGGUUGAUAUUAUUGUUGAUUAUGAUAUUGUUGUGGUUGAUUAUGGUAUUGAAUGGAAUCCUGAUUUUGAAAGUCCCCUUGCUGAUCUUUCCAAGAGAAAUUUGGAUGAUUCUUCGAGCUUGGAUUAUAAGUGUUAGAAUAAGUGUUGUUCUGCUUCAGAAAAUUUAUCUCUUCAAUUUUUUGCACGGUUGUAACACUUUGGAUGGAAAAAUGGAUUCCCCCAUAGAUCUCACAAUUAAUAGCUUGAACAGGUUGAACUUGGGCCACUUGUUGAGUACCUAUAUUCAUUGCCUUAAGUUUUUUCUCAACUUCAGCAACAACUUGGUCUUCCAUCUUCACACUUUGAUUAGUAAGUUUCAAAUUGAUCACACCCUCAGGUCGGCUCACACUUCUAUCAUAUAAUUCUAGUUGUUCAUUUGCAACAAUGGCUUCUAUGAUCUUCAUGAUACUAGUGGUUGUUGUAAAGUUGAAUGAUCCACCAGCAGUUGUAUCAAUUAGUUGUUUAGUCUUCAAUUUGAGGCCAUUAACAAACAUUUGCAUCUGUUCAGUCUGAUCCAAGUUAUAAGUAGGACAAGCAACCAAUAACCUUUUAAAUAUCUUAUAAGCAUCACCUAGUGAUUCACCCUCCUUCUACUUAAAAUCCAGAAUAUCAUAUCUUUUUUGAAUAUAAACAGAAGUAUGAAAGUAUUCAUUCAUAAAAGUUGUUUCCAUCUGUUCCCAUGUAGUGAUACUUCCAGCUGGCAAUGAGUAAAACCAUUCUUCAACAUCUUCAGAUAGAGUGAACAAAAACAUUCACAAUUUUUUUGCUUCUUCAGAGUGCCCAUCUAUCUUCAAAGUAGUGCUCAUAGUAAGAAACCUAUGCAGAUGUUUAUUUGCAUCUUCAUUUAUUUUACAUGUAAAAGGCCUCUUCUAAAGCUAACAGAUGGUUGUAGGAUGAAACUGAAAAUUUAGGACAUUCACUAGUUAAUUCACUAUAGUCACAUGACCCUCGGGGCGUUUUCUCCUCCAUAAUCCCCAAGAAGUCUUUCUAGUGGUUUAUCCAUAACUUAAUCUUCUCUCUCUUUGUCAGAUUCUGUAUCUGAAUGCUCAGAAACUUCAAUCUCUUUUUCUUAUUCGGAAUCUAAAAUUUCUACUUCAGAGGCUUCCAACCUUGCUUCCCUAGCUUGUUUGAGCCUAGCGUGCAAAGUUCUUUCUAGUUUUGCAUCAAAAGUAAAAUCAGCCGAGGGCUUUCCUCGCAUACAAAGAUUAGACAAAGAUUAGUAAUAACCCAAAAAUAGACAUAAAAAUAAAAAUAAAAACUAAAAUUUAAAAUUUUAGUUGCAGAACAACAAAAUUUUAACUGAAAUAGAUCUAUGAACUCUAUAAUCUUUGGCAGUCCCCAACAACGGUGCCAAAAACUUGAUCGAUAAAUUGGCAAGUGUAUGAAUCUGCCAAUGUAGUAAUAAGAAGGGAAAUCCCUAGUAUCGAUCUUAAGGAUUGUUUGACGAUACAAAGUUCUGGAUAAAUUUCAGUUAAACAAAAUCCUUGGGGUUUGUGGAUUGAUUGGUUAAAUUAUGAAUAGAAUGCAAAUAAAGUUAACAAAGUAAUUGCAUGGUUUAGAAAGGCAUGAUUAAUAUGCUAGGGAUAAUGUAUGAUUCAAUUAUUUGACGAUUCUGAACUCACAAUGCAACAACAUAUUCCAGAUAAUUGACUACCAGUUCUUACAAGUGUUUACUCCUAAGUCCUUAGGGAGAAAGCCUUUAAUCAUUCUACCUAACUCCUAUAUCCAUAGAAAAGUACAAAUGAAAUUAAGCAUUAAUUUGUCAAGAAUAAUCCGGUUCUUAUAGGGUAUUCUUAGUCCUAGGUAACAUCUACUAUAAAAUAUUCUCAAGCAGAUUAGUAAUAAUGGUUGUCUAGCUUAAUUAUUACUCAUAAAUCAAACUCCAUUUAUCCGACAAAGAAAGCAUUAAAAUAUUCAAGAGAAUAAAUCAAAUAUGAUGAAAUAAAAUUGUUAUUGCAAAGAGGAAUUCGAAGUCAUUACAGUGACACCCCCUAGCAUUUAUGGGUUUAGCUACUCAUAGAAAUAAAACAAAACAUGAUAAAUAAUGUUUCCAUUGUAGAAAUUUUAGACGAGUUGAUCAUAAAUCGCAAAAAGCUCCUGAAAAUCUGAGUUCUCCAGCCUUCAAAACAUGUUUUUGCCUUCCAAAAUUGUCCAACCCGUGAAAAUUUGUGUUUUCUAGUUAAAUAGACAUUGUUUUCGGGCCUUCAACAAUUUGGGCCUUCAUACGCGUAUUUCCCAAGUCCGUAUGCGUGUGGCCUUGCUCUUGGCCCUACCAGAUAUGCGUAAGCCAACAUGGUUUCCCCAAGGUAGGUCCCAUAUGUGUAUCAUCAGUGUAUGGGAAGAAUCCCCCAUUUCCUCCCCUUUGUUGGUCCUCGUAUAAUACGGGGAAGGAUUCAGGUCCAUACGCAUAUGGACAUAAGCAUGUUCUUUUUCUCCUCUCUGCUGGUCUAUGUGUGCUACGCGUAAGGGUCUAUGGCCAUACGCGUAUGGGUAGAGCCAUAAUCUUUUUUUCUUUUUCUUCUUCUUCCUUGAUCUGGCCCGAUCUUUUCUCUGAUGCUAACUUCCCUUUUCCUUUUAUCCUGCAUCCAACAUGUCACACAUACCAAAAAGACGUAAAAAUAGCCAAAAGAAACUCAAACUAUAAAAAUAAUGUCUUGGCACAAUCUAACUCGAAAGAUCAAACAUUAAGACCAAAAGUAUACAGUUCACCUGGAUUUUUGAUGGAUAAACGAUGAAAGCUAUAACACAAAUGAUGAUUGAUCAAUCAGAUACAAUUUUUACACCGUCGUGCUAAAACCGAUAUCUGAGUACUUUCGCUGUCACGCAAAUAUUUUUGAAUUUUUUGAAGCAAAAUUUAUGGUGAACGCCAUGAGUACAAAAUUUGAAGAACGUGGUGUUAGAACAAGAUUUGGUUCAGCAUCUAUACCUUGAGCUUUGAUAUUAACAAUGUUGUAUUUGUGUGAGAACAAUUUUGGUACCCUAAUGGUUUGUUAUCGUGUAACUUUAACAGUCAAUUCUGAUUUUGAGUAUAUGACGUGUAACGUCAUUAGUUUUUGAACAUAGUGUUAGAAAUUCUGCUUCUGCAUUAAUCAUGAAAAGUUCCAAAAGAUGUCAAGUUGAUGCUGCAAUGUUCUUUUUGCUUCUAUGCUGAUUCACUCCUGAGGAGUUUCUGGAAAUAUGCUAUGUUGCUGCUACAAUGUUCUCUCUGUUUCUGCUUCUGGAUGUGACUCUGGUCAUCCAACUUAUGAAGAAUCGCAAGCUUAUAAAGUUUUGUUACUUAGCUGAAGAUUCUGAAGAUCUCAACCCAUACGUUGAGGUUAUCAAGGUUCUGACUGAAGAGUCUGAAUAUUAUGAAGAUCUCAGGCUAGAUUACUAAUGUUGUCAAGGUUCUGAUAUAAGAUUAUGAAGUUUCUGAAUCCAGCUAUAUGUUUCUUUGUUUCUUGCUUAAUCAACUAUUCAUCAGAAGCCAAUGAAUUUUAAGAUAAGAUCAAAAUAGAUUUUGGAGACUUGAAGAAAAGACUACUACAACAAGUUCGUAAGACUGUUUUUAACGUGAAAAAGAUCUAAACUUAGUUCAUACUUUUCUUUAAGUAUUUGUUUUUCAUUUGUGUAAAAUAUGCUUGUGCAGAAGCAACUUAUAAACACAAAACUUUAUUCAAACAUGUCGUUUGUAAUUCCUUAAGGAGACUAGGGUAUAGUCGGAUCCUUGAGUAGAAAAAGAAGGUUAUUCUUUGUGAUUAUUAUAAUCAUUUAGUUAUAGUGGAUUAAGUCCUUAUGUAUAAUACAAAAUCACCUUGGCGGAUGGAAUGGAGUAGCUUUGAGUUUCAAGUGAACCAAGAUAAAAAUGCUUUCGUUUUUAUCUCUUUGUUUUUAGUAUUUGUGUGGUGUUCUUCAGUUGGAAAAAAACUAUUGUUUUUAAAACCCAGUUCAAACUCCCCAUUUCUUGUGUUUUUCACACCUUCAAUUGGCAUUAGAUCUCAGAUUCUGAUAGUUAUAAAGUUUUUAUGAACACUUCACCGUGUUUAGUACUGAUCCAAUGUGUGUGAGAAAUAAUGGCCGCUGCUAACAACAACAUUGUCGCUACUAACUACAAUGAGAUGGGUCACUACAGUGCUAAACCACCAAUAUUUGAUGGUGAGAUGUUUGAUUACUGGAAAGAUAGAAUCGAAAGUUUCUUCUUUGGAUAUGAUAUUGAUCUCUGGGAUCUUGUAGUCAAUGGCCAUGUUCACCUAGUUAAUGUUGAAGGAAAUAAUAUAGCAAGAAAUGCUAUGACUGAUCAACAAAAGAAGGAUUUCAAAAAUCAUCAUAAGGCUAGAACGAUAUUUCUUCAUGAUAUCUCUUAUACUGAGUAUGAGAGGAUAACUAACAGAGACUCUUCUAAGUCUAUUUUUGAUUCCUUUAGAAUGACUCAUGAAGGGAAUGCUCAAGUAAAUGAGACAAAGGCUUUGGCCUCAAUCCAUAAGUACGAAGCAUUUAGAAUGGAAGAUGAUGAAACCGUUGAGACUAUGUUCUCAAGAUUUCAGAUGCUUGUUGCAGGCCUGGAAGUUUUGGACAAAGGAUACUCUAUGGUUGACCAUGUCAAGAAGAUAAUCAGAAAUCUCCCUAAAAAACGGAGACUAUGGUAACUACUUUGAAGUUGGAAAAUGAUCUUAACAAUAUUAGUCUUGAAGAACUUGUUAGUUCUUUGAGAAGCCAUGAGAUAUAACUCGAGGAAGAUGAACCUUAGAAGAGAGGUAAAUCUGUUGCUUUAAAGUCUAAGCCUGAGAAGAUAAGAGCUUAUAAAGAUGAGUAAGAAUAAAAAGUUUCUAAUGAAGAUUCAGAAGAUGAUGAUGAGUUGUCUUUGAUUUCCAAGAGGGUCAACAGACUCUGGAGGCAUAAGAAGAAUGGUCAAGGAAAGUUCAGAGGAGCUAGGAGGACUGUUGGUCAUUCUAAUUCUUCGUCUGGACAAAAGAAGCAAGGUUCUGGUAAAGAGGUUAUCUACUUUGAGUGCAAGGAACCAAGACACUACAAGAAUGAGUGUCCUAAGCCGAAAAAGGACAUAAGGCAUAAGAAUAAGUUUUCUAAAGGCAAGAAGGUGUCGAUGGCUACAUGGGAUGACCCAAAAUCUGAAGAAGAAGAUUCUGAUGAAGAACAUGCCAAUGUUGCAUUGAUGGCAACUAUAGCUGAUCCACAAGGUUCUGAAGAACCAGAGGACAAGAUGUUGUUAGAAUCAGAAUCAGACUCCAAUUCUGAAGCGAUAUUUUAUGAACUAUCUUGUUCUGAUUAAGAGUCAUAUCUCUAUGAAAUACUGAACGAGUACUAGAGUCUUUAAACUAAGUACAAUGACCUUAAACAAGUCCAAGUAGUUGCUUUUGAAACUCGUAGUGAGCUUGAGAAAGAUAUUUCUUCCCUAAAUGAAAAAAUAUUUUCAAUGCUUUGAAAAGUAAAAUUUCAAAACUAGAGGAAGAAAUAGUCUUAGAAGCUUCUGGUACUGAUUGCAUCAUUAGAUAUGAUAGAGCAUUCUAGUACUUUCUGGCUAAAAGCAUAUAUAAAAGUAAAAUGGCUUCCUUGAUCUAUAGAGUUAGCAAAAAUGGAAAGAAAGGUUUAGGUUAUACAUAAACUAUAAAACCCGACGAAAGUCAGAAGGUUAUAUUGAAACCUCUCUAUGAGCAUAUCGUGUCUGCUGGCACGGAGCUUGAUUUUUCUACAUAUACACAAAGACUUACACAGGAUAAGAACUCAGUUCUGAAACCGAAGUAUCAUGCACAAAUUUCACUUGAUUAUCCUAUUUCACAAAGACCCAAGAGUGUAAGAAACUCUAGGAAAACUAACAAGAGAGGACCCAUAAAGUGGUUACCUUAGGAUAAGAUCAUAUAUGUUGAAGACAUCCUUAGCAGCUCAGUUGAAACACCAGUUAUGGUACCUGGACAAUGGAUGCUUGCGACAUAUGACGGUUAGAAGGUCAAUGUUCCAAGAUUUGGAACUUAAUAUUAGAGGCUUCGUUGGUUUCGGAGGAAACCAGAACGGGAAGAUCAUUAGCUCCGGAACUGUUGGUAACAAUAAACUUCCAUCUAUUACUAAUGUUCUUUUGGUGGGUGGUUUGAUGCAUAACUUAUUGUCUAUUAGUCGACUUAGUGACAAUGGUUAUGACAUCAUUUUUAAUCAAAAGUCAUGUAAGGUUUUUAGUCAAAAAGAUGGUACAAUCCUUUUUAACGGAAAGAGAAAGAAUGACAUUUAUAAAAUCAGACUUUCUGAUCUUAAGGGUCAAAAUGUAAAAUGCCUAAUGUCUGUUAAUAAGGAGCAAUGGGUAUGGCAUAAACGUUCGUGGCAUGUUAGCAUGAUAAGGUUUUCUCAGCUAAAUAAGCUUGGAUUAGUCAGAGGCUUACCCAACCUAAAGUUCGCUUUAGAUGCUCUUUGUGAAGCAUGUCAGAAAGGCAAGUUUUCUAAAACAUCUUUCAAAGUGAAAACUGUUGUUUCUACAUCUAGACCGUUAGAACUUAUGCACAUUGAUUUGUUUGGGCCAGUGAAAACUGCCUAUAUCAGUGGUAAGAAGUAUGGAUUGGUCAUCAUUUAUGACUAUAUUCGUUGGACAUGGGUAAAGUUCUUGAAACACAAUGAUGAGUCACAUUCUAUGUUCUUUACUUUCUGCUCACAGGUGCAAACAGAGAUGGAUUGCAAAAUAGUCAAAGUCAGAAGUGAUCAUGGUGGAGAAUUUGAAAAUAAACAUUUUGAAAGUAUUUUUGAUGCAAAUAGAAUUUCCCAUGAUUUCUCCCGUCCUAGAACUCCAUAGAAAAAUGGGGUUGUAGAAAGGAAGAGUAGGACUUUGCAAGAAAUGACUCGCACCAUGAUCCAAGAGAUUGAUAUGGCUAAGAAUUUCUGGGCAGAAGCAGUUAACGUAACUUGUUAAAUUCAGAACAUGAUUUCUAUUAGACCUAUUCUAGGUAAGACUCCCUAUAAAUUAUGGAAGAACAGAAAGCCCAACAUUUCUUACUUCCAUCCUUUUGGCUAUGAGUGUUUUAUGUUGAACACUAAAGAGAAUCUUGGCAAGUCUGAUUCUAAGGCACAAAAGUGCUUAUUGUUAGGAUAUUAUGAACGCUCAAAAGGCUACAAAGUCUUUAAUAGUGAGACACAAGUUAUCGAAGAAUCAAUUCAUGUAAGAUUCAAUGAUAAGCUUAACCCUGAAAAGUCAAAGCUAGUAGAGAAAUUUGUAGAUAUGAAGAUUAAUUUCUCAGAAUCUGAAGAUAAAGACUCAGAAGGUAAAGCCAAGGACGCUGAAGCAAAACACUCGUAAGUGACUCAACCAGAAGCCAUUGUUGGUCCAAAUAAGAAGAAGAGUUGAUCAAGAACUUCUCAUUCUGAAGAAUUGAUUCUAGGAGAUAAAGACGCACCAGUCAAAACUCGAUCUUCAUUCAAACCUUUUGAAGAAACUGUUCUGGGUUUGGUAUCUCUAAUAAAGCUCAUAUCUAUUGAUGAAGCUCUUCUGGAUAAUGAUUGGAUUUUGGCUAUGCAAGAAGAACUAAAUCAAUUCACCAGGAAUGACAUCUGGGAUCUUAUUCAGAAACCAAAGGGUUUCCAUGUCAAUGGAACCAUAUGGGUUUUUAGAAACAAGCUCAAUGAGAAGGGCGAAGUCAUCAGAAUCAAGGUUCGACUAGUAGCAAAAGGUUAUAGUCAACAAGAAGGUAUAUACUAUAUAUAAACCUUUGCUCUAUUUUCCAGGCUAGAGUUUAUUCAUUUUUUAAUUUCAUUUGUAGUCAAUCAUAUCGUCAUUCUUUAUCAGAUGGAUGUUAAGAGUGCAUUCUUAAAUGGGUACAUUUCUGAAGAAGUGUAUGGGCACUAACCCUUGGUUUUGAAAGUUUCCAAAACCAUGAUUUUAUUUUCAAACUCAAAAAGUCGUUAUAUGGUAUGAAACAAGCUCCCAGAGCUUGGUAUGAUAGACUAAUCAACUUCCUUUUGGAAAAUGAUUUUACUAGAGGUAAAGUGGACACUAAUCUCUUUUGAAAAACCAUUAAGAAUGAUAUCCUGGUUGUCAUACCCCAAUUUUGUUCGGGCAUUUUUAAAUUUUUGUAAAUUUCGAUUUCACUUUUUUUUUUAUAUCAUAUGCACAACAUGACAUGCAUUUCAUCAUGAAUAAUAUCUAAAAUAUCAGUCAGAAUAUAAUAUUGAAAAUACAAACAAAUUGGUUAAAUCGUUUCUCAAGUACGUGCAAAAUCAGCGGGUAAAAAGUUUCAAAAUUAAAAUUACAGACGUCAGUAUCAUUAACCUACUGUUCACGUAGUUUAUUGGUGUGCUCCUUGUAUUUUUCAGGGACUGUUUCGGCUGCGUUUUGACCCGCCUGAGCCUUUUAAUCGGUGACAAUUUAUUUUAGAAUUUGAAGAAACGCUGUAUUUUUUCAAUAAGUGUAUUUUGUGGUGAUCAUUUUGGUGCACCCGAUUUAAUUUUUCGAGCAAAUUUUUACCCGACUUUUUUUGCAUAAUCAGUCAUUUUAUUUUUAUCCUUUCGCCAAAACAUUCAGAAAAUUGAGAUUUCCAUGUCUUCAUUUUAUUUUUACCAUAUUCAUUUUAGAAGUUGUGGAUUUAAAUUUGAUUUCAUUUAUCUAAAUUGUUUUAAGUCAAUUGAACCAUCUAGAAGGGGCACCUUUGAUAUUUUUAGAAUUAGUUAGCAUUUGUGUUUCUUUGGUUUAAUCUCGAUCGUUAAAUCGAGAUUAAUCAAAGGUCUAUAAUAGUUAUCCAUGUGUGUUUCUAUUUACCAAUAAUAAAAUCAAAUAAUAAUAAUAUUAAUAAUAAAGAGAAAAAAUCAAUUUAUGGUUGUGCAAAUAAGGAUAGGUGGCGUUGGAUUAUUGACUCCUUUUUCUUAAAUUUAGAAAAAAGAAAAAUGCUAAAAAUACUACCCUUUAGGAUUUUUUUCGGUGGCCUCUCGGAUCACUCUCAAACAAAAUUCAUAACAACUCAUUAUUGGCCAGGAGAAAAUGAGCUAUCUCCACUCACAGCUGGAAACAGAAUCCACUCUCUUUCUCUCUCUCAAAAAACAACUCUGAAAAGAAAGAAAAAAAAAGAAUAGAUAUAUCUCAACGAGUACACAAAAGGACAAAAAAAUCUCAUUCUGAAAAAAGACGUUACAUCCAUUUAAAUUUCUCUCUCUCACCACUCAUAAAAGAGCUACCCACUCACCUAACUUUCAGAAUCUCUCUCACGGGUUCCUCACAUUACAAAAAGAUAAAAGGAAAAAGGAAAUUAAAAAAGGACUGACAAAAAACUCUCUCACCUGAUACCAUUCCUUCUCUCUCGUAAUAACCCUCUCUCUCUGACUUCAAAAAGGCAACGAAAAAAAGAAAAAAAAUAAAUUGAGAGGACUCUUCCUCUUAUUCGGAAUCUUAUCACUCUUCACCAUCGGACCGCCUUCAACAACCUCUGUCGUCGAAAACCUCACUGCCAUAAUCGUGCCACCCUUCACCCUCCUUCAAACUCUCCGUCGGCGAAAAACAGAAACACCGCGAGCCCCUUUUUCAACAUCGUCCAAACCCUUCGUCUUCGUUACAACCAUACACCGCCGUCUCCACCAUCCAAAUCCCAUCUCCGUCUUCACUCAACUCACAACCGCAACCAACAAACAACACCAUGAAACCGUUUUUGCGAAACGAAACUCAACGAAUCUCCUUCCUCACGAAAUCACCGUCGCCACCACCGACAUCUCACGGCUAUUCACAAUAAACCCUCACGACCGCCUCCGCUCCUCUCCCACACUUCCUUCGUGGCCACCGCGAAAGCCACCACGCGUCUUCUCCUUCACAUUCACGGAUGUCUUCUCCUUCCGAUGCCAGAUUCAAACGCAACACAAACAAACAACCAGCCGCUCUACAGCAAUAAGAGGAGCAUAGCACCAAAGGAAAUAACGCAGAAGGAUGGGUCUAGCCGCACUCCGUUUCCGUUAUAAUUUCAAGUUCAUUUCCGACGAACUCACAGUACUUCCAAUCACCCCAAGGUCGUCGAACCCGUAGGUAUAUCACUAUAAAUCUCAUGUUGAUUGGUUUAUUAUUUUUUUUGUUUUUUCCAAUUGGAGUAAGGUAGAGAUUAAAUCGAGGAUGCAAGGGUUUGUUUCAUCGGUCUUAAAGAUGAAAAAUAAUGUUCUGCAUUUUUAAAGAGCGAAAGAAAGCAUAGUGGAAAUUUCAAACUUAUUAUGAGCCUUGAUUUUCCUAAUGGUAAUGUAAAAGUUAAACUGGAUUUUUACGUUUUGUUACUUGUUUGUUUGACUGAACUUUUUUUUUAUAAUUAUUAUUACAUGACAAUAGAAUUAGUAUUUUGGUUGUAGAAAGAGUUGUCUGCAUAUAAUUCAUUAUGGUCUUGGUUUUCUUUUUAUCCAGGAAAGUUUUAGAUUCGAUCGAUAAUGCUUAAUAGUAUACAUUGAAUUCUUUCUUAAAUCACGUUUGGAAGGGUCCUGCAACUCUUUUUAUUUUUUUCAAACUUGGACAUCAUUGGUUUUAAAUGCUACUUUGUUUUAAUUAAUUGUAUUAGUAUCCCUUGUUCUAACUGAUUUAUUAGUUCACAACGUUACAACCAUUUUUCUCAAAUAUAUGGUUGGUUCUACUAUUAAAAUUUAAAUUAGAUUACUAAUUGCCUAAUGGAUUUUAUAUUGUAUAUAUAUAAAUCUGAUCCAAUCAUAUGGUGUUGUUGUUAACAUUCAGUUAAUAUGUUGUGUAUAACCUUGGCUGGUUUCUAUGUGGUUUCAAUUCCAUUAUGAUGAAGUUGGAAUUUCGACUUGCAAGUACGAGAUUUUUGAUGUUUUGAGCACAUUGUAUCCACCUUGUUUUAGUCACUUUUAAAUCAAAUUUGUUUUAAUUGAAUUGAUUGAUUAAUACAAAUUUUGUUUAAAUUACUUGGUUGUGAUGAUCGAUUACCUUGGAAAUUUUAGUUAAUCAAAUGAUUUUGAUUUUGAAUUUUGAUUGGGUCAAUUAGGUAGUUUGUUUAAAUUCCAAUCAAAUAACUUUAUUAAUUAAAUAUUGACCAAAUUAUUUUAUCACGAUGUCAACCUCUUCCAAACUCGAAUUGAUUUCAAUCUUAUCAAUUCGAAAUCAUUCACCCAUUCAAUAAAAACAUAAUUCUCGAUUCAAAGUCGAGCCCAUUUUUAAAUACCCUUGUAAGUCGAUAGCUUUUCGCAUCGCCAUCAACCUCACAUAGCUUUCUCUUGGGCUUUCUUAUUAUGAGACCUAGUCGAUUGUUAAUUGAUCGAUUAGAUGAUUGAUUCACUAAAUAAAAUCCACUUUAUUCACAAAACACAAACUUAAAACCUCGAUCCACCAUCAAGUAUUUCUAUUCAAAUUAUUAAGAUGCCCAAUCACAAUCAAAUACCAUUUCAUUUGGAAAUGAAAAGGGGGAUGGCUUUGAGUUUUCAAUUCCUUUCCUCGAUUAUUUGAAUAUGAGUUCUCUUAUUCGGUGAGUCAAAUAGUCGUCACUUCCAUCCACCUAAGCACAAACGAAUCGAAUCAUUUUUAUAAUAAGAAACAAAAAGGGAGAUGACUUUGAGUUUUCAAUUUUUUUCUCCUCGAUUAUUUGAAUACAAGUUCUCUUACUUGGUUAGUCAAAUAAUUAUCGUUCCUCUGCAAGCUUCCAAACCCCGAUUAAAUCAAAUUAUUUUCAUAAUAAGUUAAAUGAAAAGGGAGUUGACUUUAAGUUUUCAACUUCUCCUCAAUUGUUUGAAUACGAGUUCUCUUACUUGGUCAAUCGAACAAUUUUCAUUUUUCCACCAACAUAUAAGUUAAUCAAAUCAUUUCAUAAUAAACUAUACAAAAAUGGAGAUGGUCUUGAGUCUUUAAUUCCUCUUCUCAAAUGCUUGGAUAUGAGUUGUCUUACUCACCCAUUCAAGUACUUUGUCGUCUAUUCCAAAAUACAUCAACCAUACGCAAACCUAUUUUCAUAAUCACUCAGAUGAAAAAGAAAAUGGUCUAGAUUCUUCUAUUCCCUUUCUCGACUAUUAGGAUGCGAGUUGUCUUACUCGACUAUCCGAGUAUUCGUCAUCCAAUCAAAAACACCUUAAUCAUCAUUAAAAUCCUUUCACAAUUAAGGAUGAAAAAGAAAGCGGUCUAGAGUCUUCUAUUCCCUUUCCCGAUUAUUAGGAUACGAGUUGUCUUACUCGGCCAUCCGAGUAAUCAUCAUCCAACCAAAAAUAUCUUAACACAUCAAACUUAUCUUUCUCACCCUCGUGCGAUCGAAACCAGUCAAACAAAACAUUAAACACAUCAAUUCAACUCGUCACCCCCCGCGUGACCAAAACCCUUCUUUCAAAAAGAACACUGUCAAUCCUUUCUAAUGCGCACAACAAAUUAGUGCUAGAGCCUCCACCGAGAGUAGACAAGUCAAUGUUUAGCCUUUAGAACGCCGACCUACACAUUCGUUCAUAAAACAAAACACAUCAAUUAUUUGUAGUUCCCCGAACUACAAAUGCUCUGAUUUCCUUAUUACACCAUAAGGAUACGUAGGCGGGAGAUUGCUAUAUCUUCGCGAGCACACUAAUAAAAAACCUCCCUUUUCUCCCUUUUGAGGUCUUCAUCCAUAUAUAUUAUCAACUCUAAUUACUCGAAGAAAACAAACAACGCAAGUUAACACUCAAAUCUCAAAAUUGAACUAAAAGGUUCCCGUUGAGAACAAUGGACGUGAGGGGUGCUGAUACCUUCCCCUUGCGUAAUCCACUCCCGAACCCGAAUAUGGUUGCGACGACCAUUAUUCUAUUUUUCAAAGGUUUUAUCAAUAUUUUCCUAUUCCUUCAUUGGGAUAAAUAAAGUUCGGUGGUGACUCUGUUCGAACUAACAUUUUUCCACGUCCAUCGCGAGGGAUCACAUUUUUUCCGAGGUGCGAAAGCUGGCGACUCUGCUGGGGACAUGCUCCAAGCAAGAGAGAGUGAAGCCUAACUUUGUUUAAUUUUUGUAUUGGGUGUUAACCUUGUUUGUUUGAUUUUUUAUUCUGUUAUUAUUUUGUUGUAAUUAUUAUGUUGUGGUUUAUUUCCUAUGAUACUAUUGGGGUUCUCUGAUUGUUGGUACUUUGUGAGAUAGGCUUUCUACCCGAGUCUGAGAAAAACCAUAAGAUUAAGUUGGUGGUUGCGUAGUGGACGCCCACAAGGAGUCUUCCUUGUUGGGAAGAUACGAAGACCCCGCCUAGAGGAGAUUCUCUUGAGAUAUUAUUGUCCGACAAGCCUUCGUCACGGCGAUGGUGUUUCAAGUUGGAUCAAUGACUCUAGGGACCUUUUAACCCUAUAUCCGGAGGUUAUGUAGUAUUAACCUACGAAGUUUCAUACUUGUUAGGUUAAUACGAAAACCCCAAUCAGAUGAGAUCCCUUGGACGUAUUAUUACCUUACAGUAAUAUUUCCAACCUCGAUCUAUGACUCUAAGAACCUUGUUAGAACCUUGAACUCGAGAGUUGCGUAGUAUAAUCCCUAUGGAGCCUUCCUUGUUGGGACAAUACGAAGACCUCUCCUAAGAUGAGAUUAUCUUAGGGGUAUUACUGUCCGACGAGUCUUCGUCACGGCAGUGACGCUUUCAAUGAGAAUCGAUGACUCUGGGAACCAAUUAACUUUGGAGCCUACCCUUGGGAAUUUCAGUAAUCAGAGAAACCUCUACUUCUUCCUUUUAACUUGACGUACACGACGUGUGAAUGAUCUUGAGUAUUUCUAUUCCUUUGCGAAAACAUGGCAAAAUUUCAUGCAUUUGCAUAUCAUAAACAUGCAUUGCAUACCAUCUUCCAGAAACAAAAACUUACACCAUAUUCUACCCUUUGUCCAGUAACACUGACUACUCAACACCGGUACGAGACACGCCGCAACUACAGGAUGACACUCGAACAACUUGAAGCAAACCAGGUUUUAAUGAGGACAAACAUCGACUCCAUGCAAGCGAAGAUGGACCAUUUGCUUGAAACAAUGUUGCUCUUAGCCCAGAAGGAGAAGGAUGCUGAGACUAGCGCCGAUGCCAGAAAAGUUGCUACUCAGUUUGGAUCACCAUCACUUAGCAUCCAUGGAGUGAUUGACCAUGAUGGUAACCUUAAUCAUCUUAAAGGAGGACCGACCCCUAUUCCAUUCCCGAUGGUCAAUGUAAACCCCCAUGAGCAUUCUGCUACAUCUGCUCGACAUGGAUCCAUGAUGGGUGAUGAAGAUCCGUAUGACGCUUUCUUCAUGCCACAACCCGCCAAACCUGUUAUUGGAGGUCUCUUAGACCCAACUGUUGAGAGACUCCAUGCUUUAGAAGAGAAGUUCAAGUCCUUUGAGGUUCACACUACUCUCGGUUUGGACGUCGUUGAUAUGUGCCUAGUGCCAUGACUCGUGAUUCCACAAAAAUUCAAAGUCCCAUACUUUGACAUGUACAAAGGGAUCAGCUGCCCUAGAACUCACCUCAGAGCUUAUUGCCGCAAGAUGGCUGCCCACAUCGGUAAUGAUCAACUCUUGAUUCAUUACUUCCAAGAUAGCCUCAAUGGGGCAUCCUUGGAGUGGUAUAUGCAAUUAGAAAGAGGACAAGUCCAGUCAUGGAGAGACCUUGUUGAAGCCUUCCUUAGGCAUUAUCAAUACAAUAUUGAUCUAGCACCCAAUCGCACCCAGCUGCAAGACAUGACUCAACGCAACAAUGAGUCAUUCAAGGAAUACGCACAACGGUGGAGAGAGCUAGCAGCCCGUGUCCAACCUCCUCUCCUUGAUAAGGAGCUAAUUGAUAUGUUUAUGGGAACUCUUCAUACUCAAUACAUGGAGAAAAUGGUAGGAUCCAGCUUCCCAACUUUUGCUGAGGUUGUCUCCGUGGGAGAACUAAUCGAGAGCCAGAUCAAGAAGGGAAAGCUACCUUGCGCUGCCAAUGCUUCAAGUGGGAUGAAGAAACCUUAUCCUAAUCUCCCAAAGAAGCUAGAAGGCCAGACCAACGCCAUAAUGAGAGGAGGAGGAUAUAUGACGCCUCCGUAUGUUCCUAUGCCUUAUCAUCAGGUUGUCGUUGUCAUCCCGACACCGUAUCAGCCACCAUAUCAGCAACCAUAUCAGCAACAACAUCAGUUGCCGUACCAACAUCCGGCUUACCAACAGCCACACCAGAAUCAACAGCAACGUGCUCCACCGUAGCGUCAACCUAGUCAACAGAGGGCAAGGAGGCCAAAAAGACAUUUCGAUCCUUUGCCAUUGCCUUACAGCAAGAUCCUUCCCUACCUGCUAAAAGAUGGAUCAGUUGUUUUGAAGGAGCUAACACCUGCAACUCCGCCCUACCCACCAGGCUAUGACACCAAUGCUCACUACGAGUAUCAUAUGGGUGCCCCAGGGUACACCGUAGAAAAUUGCAAGGCCUUCAAACACAAGGUCCAAGAUCUGAUUGACAGUCAGGCAGUUACUUUCACGCCAGUUAGGCCAAAUGUUGCAACAAAUCCCAUGCCAGCGCAUGCAGAGCAUAGUGAAGCUCGAAGAUAGAGCUCCCCACCGGCCUGAACAAGCGGAGCACUUCCUAAACGAAGAAUCAAGAGAUGAAGGCCCGUUUCUUUGAAUGAAGGCAAUCAUUAUGCCAUUUUUACCGUUUCGCAUUCUUGUAAUUUGUUCUUGUUUGUCUAAGUAUUGUAUGGCUUUAAACAUUGUUAUUUGUAUUUGGUUCUAUUAAUGGGAUGAUUAUGCAUGUUUUGAAUCAAUCUUUCAUAUUCACUCAUACCAUUUAUUUGCAAAGCACAAAGCACAAACACAUACUUUUCCACUUCACCUUCUUUAUCACACUAUUGUUAGCAAAUGUUGGAAGGAGGAUGACGAAAACAAAAUACUCAUAAUUGGUGAUUGUAUGCUUUUGGAUAAAAUCCUGCUAAUGAUGUACAAGCAUUGUUUCAAAUCUCCAAACACUGGAGAGAUAAGGAGUUAAUCCCUAGUUAACCAUUUCGGGCCUAGAAGUAGGAGUUUCUUUCAGAUCUACAAACCCUUACGCUUAACCUGGGGCAGGGUAGUGUUCAGUUGAUCUGACUACACAUUCGAAUUACAAGAUGAAAUUUCCCAUACAAGGAUCAAUCACAUGAUAUUCUUCGCACACAUCCUGAAGUGUCGAAGGAACCAUACAAAAUCCAAAAUUUAUGUCCGUUAUUCUUUAAUGACUAAUGACUUGGCAGUCACAAUUUUCCAAAAAAAAUCAAAGAAAGAGCUCGCUAAGUCAAACAUCCAAAAAGGAGACUUAGGCAAAAACUAGGGCAAUCCCGAUGGAUUAAAGCUUCAAAAAGCGGUCCAUGCAAAAUUAGGGAUCAAAACAAAGAUCGAGAGAGACAAUGAGAGUCCUCAACAAAACAAAACAAGAUUCAGUGACCACCAUACCCAAAUCAAAGGGUCGCCAACAUCCAUGAAUAGCAAGAUAGGAUGACUGUCAUUUCAAGAAAUCUUACACUGCUGAACCCUCGCAAAAGUAAGUGUGUGUCGAAUUAACUGAACGUAAGAUCGGAGAUCAUCAUGAAGAAGGGGUGGGUUAAAGUAAACUUUGAGCUUUAUAUCCUUUUGUUUCAAUAACCAUGUGCCAAGCCACGUUACAACCUACGAAAGACCUAAUUGAAGUAAGGUUUAUUCUGAAAGCAUACUACAUCAAGGUUGAGUGAGCUGACUCCUAGAGAUUUGCUAAUAUUCUAUUUUCACUAUAUCACUCACACACUAGCUAAAUCGACACCGCGUCUGGACUCAUGGUCCACUCGCCAUACACUGCUACGAUACUCCUAAUGAACGAUUGUUUUUCAAAACUUGCAUGACUAUUGCAUUAAAAUCACCAUUUCUUGGAUAACAAUUCUUAAUUGUCAGUCAGUACUUGACAUCGAGAAAAUUCCAACAAGGGGAAAUUCAAGAGGUACUUGAUAAUUGGUGCUGACACGAAUCAAGACCAUCUCAUAAAUCAGGGGCAUGGCAUCUUUUGAUUAUGUUGACUUAGGAAGCAGUCAGUAUAAGGCAAAUCUCCAGAGCAUUGGUUGACCAGGGAGGAAAAACACUUCAACACUCAGUCCAUCUGGGGCAGGUCCCUCACAGGCUAAUCAGGGAGCGAACCGUUACAAAGAUUUAGGAGCUGAAAAAAACAAACUCAGACCAUGUCAUGGGAUAAUCACUCCUAAAGUUUCCUUUCAAGGAGAAUGCCAUUUGAUACCCUACAGACUGGGGCAAGACAAGUUGCAAGGGGCAAGUUCCCUUCAUAUCUUCAAGUCAGUCAAGAAGAUUGCGUCAGACACUAGUAACUGCUUGAAUUCUCAAUAAAGACGUCGGAAGUCCAUGCUAGUACGACAUCAUAUCUUGACAAGAAUCCUCAUGGCACGUCAAAGGCAUAAUCAUCAUGCGUUGAUCAUGUCGCUAUGCUCAGUAACAUGCCAUCCAUACAUCUCAGCAGAAAAAGUAGAGAUCGCCUCGGGAGCAAAGACACAACGUAUCACAAGAGAUCAAACUUGGGGAACCAAGAGUAUUCGCAUCUACUACGUGUUCAUCACAUCAUCAACUACCGAGUGUCGGGAAGUCAGAUCCUUUCCCCAACCAACAACCCAACCCACAUUGACAGUUACCAGAAAAAACCAAAGUCCACCUUACUAGCAUCCCUCAUAAAAAACAAACACAACCAGCAUUGGUUUCCAGAAAAUACAUCGCCUUUGAAUAAGGGGGGAGGGGGGGGGGGGGGGGGGCAAUCCCAAACAAACCAAUCAUUCUUUGCAUUCAAACAUGCAUCAUAUGCAUCAUCUCAUACAUCUUUGAAUGCAUAUCAUUUAUGCACAAAAACACGAAUCAAAAUCCAAGGUUAAGUCGUAGGCAUCCAGGCCACCAUUUGCACUUAGUUUUCAUCAUCCAUCCAGCAUGAAUCUUCAAGAAUCGGUAACACUUUGUUUUUUCUUUUAGUUGAUUUCUUAAGUUUAUCGCAUUUUAUGAAUUUCUGCUUGUUUUAUGUUGUAUUAGUAGUUCAUCUCUUUUUGUCGCAUUUUAUGCGUUUCUGUGGUAGUGUUGUUUGGUUUCCAGGUCUAACAAUAAGCCUGAAAUAUGCGUACCGGAAGAAUUAAAGUCAAGGACAUCGUGCAAAGCGAGAAAAGGCAAAAACAGGGGGCUGACACGGGUGCCCGUGUCAGCUGACACGACCUGUGUCAGUAUGUGCAGAAUACAGAUUGUGGAAUCCAGAAACCAAGGGGUUGACACGGGUGCCCGUGUCAGCAAGGGCUGAAGAGUUUGAGUUGACAGAGAGCCAACAUGGGCGCCCGUGUCACCUGACACGGUCCGUGUUGGCCAAUUCGCCAUGUUUGCUGAUUUUUAUUGUUUUGAUCCAUGUGUACGUCCGGAGGGCAGUAUGGGUAUUUCACGAUGUUUUUAGUUGAUUGGAAACUAUUUAGUCUGCAUUUUGGUGAAGAGAGAGGACACUUUUGAUCGUACAAGAAAAAGACAGAAAGGAGAAGCGAACUUUCAAGGUGUUUAGAGAAGAAGAGAUCUUCAAGAUCGGAAGAGAUUGAAGAUCAACCUUCAUCAACAACAAAUUGUACUGUCUCUAUUUUGUAAUUUACUAUCUUUGAAUAUUAUGAGAAGUUAAACCCCCCAAUGCUAGGGGGUGUCCCUGAAUUGCUACUGUAUGAACACUUUUUCUAUGUUUUUAUGAUCAUCGAUGUUUUCUUAAUUCAAAUUAUUAUACAACGUUCUUAAAGCUUUAUUUUAUCGGACAAAUGGAAUUUUGAUCUCUGGUUAAGGUUUAGGUCGGACAAACCACCUUAUCGCUUGUUGUGUAAUAAUAUUUCGGUUUAAUCACUUAGGAAUAAGGAUCAAACCGUAGUAACCGUUAAUUCUUGCUCAAUUGCAUAUUUCGUAACGUCAUUUUGAAUAACUAAGGAAUUAGGAUUGAAAUUGACUGUUAAUGGUUUUCGGCUAAGGGAUUAGAUAAAACAAUUCUUGAGAAUCAGUUUUGAAUAAUUACAACGUAGAUGUUAUAUAAUAUGGAAGGAGUGUAGUACAAAGCAAUUCACACAUAUUGCCUUAGCAUGCUUUCUCAUAUCGCUUAACAACUUUUUAUAUGCUUUAUAUAAUUUAUUCUUGUUCUUAUCAUUUUGAAAACAAUCAUUAAACCCCCUAUGAUCUUUUGUUCAAUGGAAUUAUUGUAAAGAUUUGUACUUAUUACGCAGUCCUCAAGAUGAUACUUGGGAUAACUCCCAUUUCAUUACUACAGUGGUGCAAAUAGUACACUUGCUAUUUUACCGAUCAAGUUUUUGGCACCGUUGUCGGGGAUUGCCAAAGUAUAAGUUGAAUAAUAAUUCAAUUGAAAUUUUUUCGCUCAACGACCAAAAUUUUAUUUCUCUGUACUAUUGGUUAUUUUUAUAAAUUCUAAUAAUUGUCUAAUCUGUGCAUGCAAGACGACGAAAAGCUAGACUGGAACAUUUAGAAGCAACCCCCAUUGUUUCUGAGUCUGAAAAAGAAGAAGCUAUUUCAGUUCAUUCGGAACCAAUGGCUGAAGCUCCACCUUCCGUGGAAAUACUUUUGGGUGACUAUGGAGGUGCAAAUGCUCCUACUGGAAGGUUAACAAUUGUGAACCAACCGGUAAAUGUUGAUCAUUUUCAGCUACACCCUUCAACGAUUCGUCAUCUCGAAAGGAGACCGUUCUCCGGAAAAAUCAAUGAAGAUGCCAACAAGCAUUUACAAAGAUUUCUGACCAUGAUGACAUCGUUGAAAAUUGAGGGACACUCAGAGGAAGCUAAAAAGUUGGUGAUGUUUCCGUUUACACUAUCGGAAGAUGCUGAAGAGUGGUGUUACUCUUUACCCGUGGGAAGCAUUACAGCUUGGCAACAAAUGGAGACAACAUUUUUGAAUGAGUACUUCCCUGGUUCUGUGUAUAUCUGUAAGAGAUAUGAUAUUGUUAAUUUCAAAUAGAAGGAAAGAGAGUCACUCAGAGACGCUUACAAGAGGUUCAAGCGAUUGUUGGUUGCAUGUCCUACUCAUAACAUGGAUGCAACUGAAUAGAUGCAAAAUUUUAUGAAUGGCCUUAGAAUGAAGACUAAGUAACUCAUAGACACAGCUGCCGGUGGCUUAACAAAUUUUACAACAACCACUGGAAUAAAGAAAAUCAUUCAAGCCAUUGCAGCAAAUCAGCAUCUGGAGCUCUAUGACCGCAGUGUAAGUCAACCUGAAGGUAUCAUUGAUCUCAAGCUAACAAAUCAAGUUGUGAAGAUGGAAGAUUAAAUAACAGCUGAAGUAGAGAGAAGAAUCAAUAAAAUGGCUCUUGACACUCAAACGGUGGCACAAGUUCAACCGGUUCAACCUAUUUAAACAGUUAGUUGUGAAAUUUGUGGGGGACCGCACUUCGCCAUGCAUUGUGUGGAAACUACACAACAGGUAGAAGAGAUUAAUUUUCUGAAGCAAAAUAACCCUUACUUCAAUACUUAUAAUCCUGGAUGGAAAAAUCAUCCAAAUUUUUCCUGGAAGGACCAACAAGGAAAUGCUCACAAGCAAGUGCCCAGUCAAUAUCAAAGCCAACCGCAACAACAGUAUCGACCACAACAAUAACAACCUUACCAGCAGCAGUUUCACCAAUCCCAACAACAAUUUCAAUAACAGGUUCCAAGAAAAGCAGAUAGGGAAAUUGCCAUUGAAAAAAUGGCGGCUCAAAGUUCACAAUUUCAAGAGGAGACUAGAAGUAAUCUGAGAAACACUGGUGCAUCAAUAAAAAAUCUGGAAGUGCAAAUGAGUCAGAUUGCUCAACAACUCGCGGGUUCUCAAACACUGGGUGCAUUACCGAGUGCUACAAUUAUAAAUCCACGAGAGCAUAAUAAUGUGAGUGUUGUAACCAUAAGAAGUGGUAAAUCAAAAGAAGUCCCUGAGAAAGAUGAUGACCAAGAAGACUAAUUGAUUGAAGUUGAGUUGGAAAUAAAAGAAAAUGAGGUUGUGAGUGAAGAGGUGGUAGUGCCUAAACUGAUGGUUAAAGGAAAAGUUAGUGAACCAAAGUCGGCUGUCAAACUCCCUUUCCCCAUAAGAAAUAAGAAGAAAGAGCAACAUGAGAAGAACUUCGAGAAAUUCUUGGAGAUGUUCAAAAAGCUUGAGAUUAACAUUCCGUUCUUGGAGGCACUUGAACAAAUGCCCUCUUAUGCCAAAUUUAUGAAGGAAAUUAUUUCAAAGAAGAGGAGCGCCGACACUGACCCUAUUGUACUAACCGAAACUUGUAGUGCAAUUUUGCAGGGUAUGAAGAUUCUAGUGAAGAAGAAAGAUCGAGGCUCGGUAACUAUCCCUUGCACUAUCGGGGAUAGGUAUUUAAAAAAGGCCCUUAUAGACUUGGGGGCAAGUGUGAUUCUCAUGUCGUUAUCCAUUUACAAGAGGUUAGGGAUUGGAAAAGUGCAAGAUAGCAAAAUGACACUUCAAUUUGCUGACCACUCUGUGAAGAGACCUUAUGGAGUGGUGGAAGACAUUCUUGUGAAGAUUGAUAAGUUUGUAUUUCCGAUGGACUUUGUCAUCUUAGAAAUGCCGGAAGAUGAAGAGAUACCACUCAUCCUUAGUAGACCAUUUUUGGAGACCGGAAGAUGUUUGAUAGAUAUAGAAGAGGGCACCAUGACUCUAAAAGUUUACGAUGAAGAGUUGAAAAUUGAUUUGCGUAACACCAUGAGAUACAAAGAUGAUGUGGCCACCAGUCAACACAUAGAGGUGAUUGAUCAAAUGGUUCUGCAAGAAAAUCCUUUAGGUGAACCACAAUUGCCCUUGGAGAGAGUUCUAAGUCUAUCAAUUUCUGAAGACAGAUGUGGCCACCAGUCAACACAUAGAGGUGAUUGAUCAAAUGGUUCUGCAAGAAAAUCCUUUAGGUGAACCACAAUUGCCCUUGGAGAGAGUUCUAAGUCUAUCAAUUUCUGAAGACACUCAAGAAGUUGACUAAAAGGAGAGGGAAGUGUUAACUAUGAUGGCAACACAACCACCCUUUAAGGGAUCCCGAUCACUCCGAUGGGAAAACUUGAGGGAACCCCAGUUUGAGGAAAAGAAAGAUGAGACCAAGAAAGUGGAUGAGCUGAAACAAUUGCCGAAAAAUCUCAAGUAUAUUUUUCUAGAUUCUGAAAGGAGAUGCCCGACUAUUAUAAGCUCUAAUCUAAAAGUUUCCCAAGAAGACAAGCUCGUCAAGGUUCUGAAGAAGCAAAAAAGUGAAAUGGGAUGGGCGAUAGAAGACUUGAAGGGGAUUAGCCCUACGGUAUGUAUGCAUAAAAGUCUCAUGGAGGAUGGUCACAAACCAGUGGUGCAACCCCAAAGAAGACUAAAUCCCGCAAUGAAGGAAGUGGUUAGGAAAGAGGUUGUUAAACUAUUAGAUGUUGGGUUAAUUUAUCCCAUAUCGAUAGCUCUUGGUGAGUCAUGUUCAUUGUGGGUUCCGAAGAAAGGAGGGACUACCGUUAUAAAGAAUGAGAAAAAUGAGUUACUCCCUACAAGGACGGUCACGAGGUGGCGUGUUUGCAUCGAUUACAGAAGGUUGAAUUUGGCGACAAGAAAGGAUCACUUUCCUUUACCAUUCAUCGAUCAGAUGUUGGAAAGGUUGGCUGGUCAUGAGUACUAUUGUUCCUUGAUGGAUACUCUGGAUAUAAUCAGAUAGCGGUUGCACCAGAAGAUCAAGAGAAGACAGCUUUUACUUGCCCUAUGGUAUUUUUGCUUACAGAAUAAUUCCAUUCAGGUUUACGUAAUGCACCCGGCCACAUUUCAAAGAUGCAUGACUUCCAUUUUUUGGACAUGCUCGAAAAGCAUAUGGAGGUUCUUCAAUGGAUGACUUCUCGGUAUUUGGUUUCUCUUUUGAUAAUUGUUUAACUAACCUUUCCCUUGUGUUAGAAAGAUGCCAACAGACCAACUUGAUUCUCAACUGGGAGAAGUUCCACUUCAUGGUGUGAGAAGGCAUAGUCUUGGGUCAUGAAAUUUCUCACAAAGGAAUAGAAGUGGACCAAGCCAAGAUCGAGGUAAUAGAAAAGCUACCCCCUCCAAUGAACGAAAAAGGUAUAAGAAGUUUCUUAGGGCAUGCGGGUUUCUACCGUAGGUUCAUAAGAGACUUUUCUAAGAUAGCUAAACCUUUAACUACCCUGUUGGUUAAGGACAAGGCUUUCAUCUUUGAUAAAGAGUGUGUCAUUGCUUUUGAAACUAUAAAAAAUAAAUUGGUGACGGCACCUAUUGUCAUUGCCCCAGAUUGGUCUCUACCUUUUGAGAUCAUGUGUGAUGCGAGUGACAUUGCAGUGGGAGAAGUUCUUGGGCAACAUAGAGAUAAACUGUUGCAUGUCAUAUAUUAUGCUAGUCAUGAUACCUUUUGAGAUCAUGUGUGAUGCGAGUGACAUUGCAGUGGGAGAAGUUCUUGGGCAACAUAGAGAUAAACUGUUGCAUGUCAUAUAUUAUGCUAGUCAUGUUUUGAACCCUGCACAGAUGAACUAUGCGACUACCGAGAAGGAGUUGCUAGCGGUGGUCUAUGCCUUUGAUAAAUUCAGGCAAUAUCUGUUGGGUUCUAGAGUCAUUUUUUAUACUGACCAUGCUGCUUUGAAGUAUUUAUUUUCUAAGCAUGACUCUAAGCCAAGACUGUUGAGAUGGAUCUUACUCCUCCAAGAGUUUGAUUUGGAAAUUCGUGACAAAAGAGGGUGUGAAAAUACUGUGGCAGAUCACCUCUCUCGGAUGUCCCCUAUAGAGGAGAAUGAGGAAAAGCGUCUGAUAAAGGAUGAGUUUGCUGACGAACACAUCCUUGCUGUUAUUGGAAUGCCAUGGUUCACAGACUACGCGAACUAUCUAGUAGGUGGGGUGAUCCCUAGCGAAUUUGACUCUAACAAAAAGAAAAAGUUUGUGCAUGAUUGCAGGUUUUACUUGUGGGAUGACCCAUUCUUGUACAAGAAGCGAAUUUGACUCUAACAAAAAGAAAAAGUUUGUGCAUGAUUGCAGGUUUUACUUGUGGGAUGACCCAUUCUUGUACAAGAAAGGAGUAGAUGGGUUGGUCAGAAGAUGUGUUCCCGAAGAAGAACAAAGAGAUGUCCUGAAAGUAUGCCAUGACUCUGACUAUGGUGGACACUUUAGUGGUGAUAGAACCGCAGCCAAAGUCCUCCAGUCAGGCUUCUACUGGCCUACACUUUUCAAAGAUGCUCAACAAUUAAUCAAAGAGUGCGAUAAGUAUCAAAGGAUGGGAAACAUCUCGAAAAGAAAUCAGAUACCGCAGAACCCCAUGUUGGAAGUUGAACUCUUCGAUGUUUGGGGUAUCGACUUUAUGGGACCAUUUCCACCUUCAUUUGGAAAGAAUUACAUUUUGGGGGCGGUGGAUUAUGUAUCCAAGUGGGUAGAAGCAGUCGCUCUACCAACGAAUGAUGCAAAAGUGGUAGUCAAGUUUCUAAAGGAAAAUAUAUUUGUCAGGUCUGGAGUGCCAAGAGCUCUAAUAAGUGAUAAAGGAACUCAUUUCUUAAAUCACCUAAUGGAGAAGCUACUCUUGAAGUAUAAUGUAAAACAUCGUAUAGCCACUCCGUACCAUCCGCAAACAAGUGGUCAAGUUGAAGUGUCGAAUAGACAGCUGAAACAAAUUCUGGAGAAGACGGUCAACUCAUCUCGCAAAGAUUGGGCAAGUAAGCUUGAUGAUGCGCUUUGGGCAUACCGAACUGCUUUCAAAACACUGAUUGGUAUGUCCCCUUAUCAAUUGGUAUAUGGUAAGGCAUGUCACUUACCCUUAGAACUUGAACACAAAGCUUUGUGGGAUUCAAAAUUCCUUAAUUUCGAUCUUUCGAAAGUGGGAUAAUCUCGAAUACUUCAACUCCAUGAGUUAGAAGAAUUUAGGAACCGAGCAUAUGAAAAUGCCAAGAUCUACAAAGAUCAAACAAAGAAGUGGCAUGAUAGAAGGAUCCAAAGGAAGGAAUUUUGGAAAGGACAAAUGGUACUAUUGUUUAAUUCGAGGAUGAAGUUGUUCUCGGGAAAACUGAGAUCGAAAUGGUCGGGUCCGUUUAUGGUACACAAGGUAUAUCCUCAUGGAGCAAUCGAACUAAAAAAUCCUUCCAAUGGGGACAUUUUUAAAGUGAAUGGCCAAAGAUUGAAGCCUUACAAUGUGGAGCACGAAGUUGGUCAAAUUGAUGUUGUUCAUCUUGUCUGAUAAGAUGAACAACCGUCGAGCCAUGCGACGUUAAACGAAGCGCUACGUGGGAGGCAACCCACGCUUUUGUGUCUAAUUACUUUCUUUGUUUUGUUGUGUGUUAUUGAAUUGCAGGUUAGAACAAUGUUUGCUAGAGGAGCCAAAAGUUCGUGUGCCAAAAGUCUCUGGAAAAAUUGGAAGCAGAAGCCUGACACAAUCACGAGAAAACAGUGAAGGAAAAAGAAAAAUCGGGGGCCUGACACGGGUGCCCGUGUCAGCAUGUGAUUAGAGAAAGGUGGUUUCCAGGGGCUUGACACGGGUGGCCGUGUCAGCCCCUGAGUGAACAAGUUGGAAAGAGGAAGGACACGACCGGUGUCAUGGAGGUCCUUAGCGCGGACACGGCCUCCCGUGUCAGCAAGCGUGUUGGGAAAAUUUUCAAAAAUUUUGACCGUUGGCAAUUGGGCCCACCACCGAAUUUCCCCCGCUAAAUCCAUUUUAUCACCCAUUCACUCCUCAUUAACCUCUUCUCUUACCUAUUCUCUCACCUUCAUCUCUCUUUCUCUCAAAAAUACCUAAAAACCUCCAUUUUUCUUCACAUAAAGCUCCAUCCUUUCACCUCAUAACUCCAUCAAAUCUCCAUCCGUCAAAAAAUACCUAAAAACCUCCAUUUUUCUUCACAUAAAGCUCCAUCCUUUCACCUCAUAACUCCAUCAAAUCUCCAUCCGUCUUCACAAAAGUUCUUCCAUUUUCCAUCCUCUACCUUCCUACGGUAACAUUUUUGCCUAAUCUCUCUUUUCAAUUUCAAGUUUCUUUUUGUUGUGUGCAGGUAAGAACAUCUCUCGGCGAGUAGACAUAAGCAAAAAUGUGGCGGAAUCAUCCUGGCCACGUCAAAGGGCGAGAAGGACUCUGAAUGAGCACGACAUUAUGUUUGAAAACUUGGAGCACCAAAAGAGGUAUACGGUUCAUCUUAAAAGAAAAUUAACCCCCACCAGAUACAUGUGUAAUGGCACUUUGCAGGAACUGGGAUUGCAAGCGGAAGUUCACCAAAUGUUCCACACCUUAGGUAUGUUGGAAUUCAUGCAGUUAGAAGCGCCAACUUUUGUGCGCAUUACUCUUGAAUUCUUGAGUACCAUUGAAUUUAAGCUGAAAAAUCGGUGGAAUGGAACGGAGAAAGAGUACUACGGUACUCUGCAUUUUCGUUUAUUUAAUACUUAUAUGGAAUUGUAUGUGGAUGAGUUAGGGAGUAUCCUAAAACUCCCAAUCAUAGGCCCUUGAAUGGUGCCCGAUACUUUUGUUCUGGCGGAAUUCUGGACCGCUAUAACAGGUAACACUAAGUAUGUCUCCAAAGAGGCAAAAGCAUCGGGUAUCCAUAACCCUUGUUUCAGGUACGCGCAGAAGGCUUUGGCAUACACCAUGUUUGUUCGCGGUGAUAGCAUCGGUGUCACCACCCAAAGGGAGUUGUUCUUUCUAUACAGUAUGGCAGCACAAACUCCUAUCAACGUAGCAGCAUUUGCAACUGACUACCUAGGUAGCGUUGGUCGCGCUACUUCAGGCGACAUUUCGGUUGGCGGAAUGAUCACACAGAUUGCCGACCAUUUUGGAUUUGGUGUUGCGCUUGCUGACUCUCCACAGGUGCUGGGUAAAAAUAAACUGGACAUGGCCGCGUUGAUUCAACAAGGCAUGAUUGAGGUGACACAAGAUUACUAUUCUCUUAUCUGCCAAAAAUUCCAUGUUCUUGCUUUACCCGCUUAUGAUUUCAUCAGUAUUACUAACAAAGCCAACUGGCUUUAUGAGUGUCCUGACCUGGAUGAGGGGGACGGAGAUUUUCUUGAUUCUUUGCCUGCAUAUGAACAUAUGGAGGGUGCACCGAGCACGGAGGAGUCGUUUACCAACAACCACUGGAAUCGACUCAAGCUUCAAGGUCCUACUCCAUGCCACAAGACCAAUGGGGUUGGAUUCAAGAUGAGAUCGGUCACCUUCGCACGGAGCAAUCUAGGCAAGGUGAGGAGCUCACCAGGUUCGGAGUCGAACAACUCCGCCAAGGGACGGUUUUGGAUGAGAUGAAUGCGAUGAUGCAAUGCAUGAUGUUGCAUUAUCCGUACUCGCCCCCACCUCCUCAUUAAAAAUUGUGAGUACCCCUCUUAUCUUAAUAAUAAACAUUGCGGACAAUGUUUGGUUCAAGUGUGUGUGUGGGGGAGGGGUAUUGUUUUGUAUUUUAUUUUAGUUGUGUUUGUUUGCUUUGUUACUUUGUUUUGUCUUUGUGUGUCUGUUUUAUUUCCUUAAGUUAUAGAUAAAAGUGGAUUCUACUAGAUAAAUGAUGGACUAGUGACCAGUGAGGGAAAGAUGCAACCCCGGAUUUGCUCCCGAGGCAACUUGGAAGUUGAUACAACUGAGAAAGAAAAUGUUGGACGUAACUUGGAAACUCUAGACCGAAAGAGGGGAGGGUAAACCCAAGCUGAAAAGGAAGUUGUUUGUCAUAAAGAGUGGUUUGGAGCCUGCAAGCUUAUCCAACAUGGUGAGAUUUCAACAUAACCAAACACAAAAGAGCGCAUUCAGGUAUGACUUUAUCUCUCUAAUUUUGCGUAAGUUCAGCCUGCAAGCUUAUCCAACAUGGUGAGAUUUCAACAUAACCAAACACAAAAGAGCGCAUUCAGGUAUGACUUUAUCUCUCUAAUUUUGCGUAAGUUCUACUGAUACAGCACAAUACAAAGACGCACAAUGAGGCGCGUUGUUUAUUUUCACCCUUUAGCCUUUCUAGCAAUCCAUAUUGUUAUAUUUAUCCUUUGUUAAACCUGUUGAGCAUGUACCCCGUUGUUUGUGAAAACCGUCAUGUUAACCUAAGCCAAACACUUCCUACCUUCACUCGGCAUGACUGUUGUAGUGUAAAAUUCGUGCAAAAAGAUAAGUUUGGGGUGGUGAUCCUUAGAAAAAGUUGAAAAAGGGAAAGUGCAACAAAAAGAAGAAAAAAAGUGUGUAGAAACAUCCGCUUCUACCGAAAAAAAAAGAGAAAAGAAAUGAAAAAUAGAAGUGAAGUAUAAGCACUUGCCUAAUUCAAAGACUCAUGAAUUAAUGUGAUACUCAAAAGAAAAAUUGAGUGGAAAAGAGUCAAGUUGGACAAAACCCCAUAAACUAAUUUGUGCACAAAGAAAAGAAACAACAUGAAUGCCGAGUUCUAAACCUUUGUCAUCCAUUUUCUUGUCUACCCCCACCGUACCUAAGCCCCGUUACAACCCGAAAGACCUCUCAAAGUGUGUGAAUUUGGUUUGUGUAGUUAACGUAGAAUCUAUUCAAAAAAUAAGAGUUGAUAUUGCAUACCUUGAUAUCAUGAGUGCUAAACACUUUAACCCCGAGAUAUUUGGUGAGUGGUGUGAAGAAGUUUGCAGGUGAAGGAACACUCUGAUACGAUAAUACAGUGGAUAGUUCGAAUGGGUGAACCAGAAGCUUAAUCGGGAAGGAGGAAGAUAAGUUGUGAAUACCAUCAGCCGUAUUAUGGAAAGAAGAAAAUCCAUGGUUGACCUCUGUGUUGUCUCUUACAUCACUUGAGGACAAGCAAUGAGAUAAGUUUGGGGUUGUGAUCGGUCACCAUUUGCACUUAGUUUUCAUCAUCCAUACAACAUUAAUCUUCAAGAAUCAGUAACAAUUUGUUCUUUCUUUUAGUUGAUUUCUUAAGUUUAUCGCAUUUUAUAAAUUUCUGCUUGUUUUAUGUAUUAGUAGUUCAUCUUUUUUUAUCGCAUUUUAUGCAUUUCCGUGAUAGUGUUGUUUGGUUUACAGGUCUAACAAUAAGCCCGAAAGAUGCGUAGCGGAAGAAUGGAAGUCAAGGACAUCGUGCAAAGCGAGAAAAGGCAAAAAUAGGGGGCUGACACGGGUGUCCGUGUCAGCUGACACGACCCGUGUCAGCAUGUGCAAAAUACAGAUUAUGGAAUCCAGAAACCAGGGGGCUGACACGGGUGCCCGUGUCAGCUGACACGGGUGCCCGUGUCAGCUGACACGGCCCAUGUCAGCAAGGGCAGAAGAAUUUGAGUUGACAGAGAGCCAACACGGGCGCCCGAUGUCAGCUGACACGGGUGCCCGUGUCAGCUGACACGGCCCAUGUCAGCAAGGGCAGAAGAAUUUGAGUUGACAGAGAGCCAACACGGGCGCCCGUGUCACCUGACACGACCCGUGUUGGCCAAUUUGCCCCGUUUGCUGAUUUUUAUUGUUUUGAUCCCCGUGUACGUCCGGAGGGCAGUCUGGGUAUUUCACGAUGUUUUUAGUUGAUUGGAAACUAUUUAGUCUGCAUUUUGGUGAAGAGAGAGGACACUUUUGAUCGUACAAGAAAAAGACAGAAAGGAGAAGCGAGCUUUCAAGGUGUUUAGAGAAGAAGAUAUCUUCAAGAUCGGAAGAGAUUGAAGAUCAACCUUCAUCAAUAACAAAUUGUAAUGUCUCUAUUUUGUAAUUUACUGUCUUUGAAUAUUAUGAGAAGCUAAACCCCCAAAUGCUAGGGGGUGUCCCUGAAUUGCUAUUGUAUGAACACUUUUUCUAUGUUUUUAUGAUCAUCGAUGUUUUCUUAAUUCAAAUUAUUAUACAACGUUCAUAAUGCUUUAUUUUAUCGGACAAAUGGAAUUUUGAUCUCUGGUUAAGGUUUAGGUCGAACAAACCACCUUAUCGCUUGUUGUGUAAUAAUACUUCGGUUUAAUCACUUAGGAAUAAGGAUCAAACCGUAGUAGCCAUUAAUUCUUGCUUAAUUGCAUAUUUCGUAACGUCAUUUUGAAUAACUAAGGAAUUAGGAUUGAAAUUGACUGUUAAUGGUUUUUGGCUAAGGGAUUAGUGAAAACAAUUCUUGAGAAUCGGGUUUGAAUAAUUACAAUGUAGAUGUUAUAUAAUAUGGAAGGAGUGUAGUACAAAGCAAUUCACACAUCUUGCCUUAGCAUGCUUUCUCAUAUCGUUUAACAGCUUUUUAUACGCUUUAUAUAAUUUAUUCUCGUUCUUCUCGUUUUGAAAACAAUCAUCAAACCCCCUAUGAUCUUUUGUUCAAUGUAAUUAUUGUAAAGAUUUGUACUUAUUACGCAGUCCUCGAGAUCGAUACUCGGGAUAACUCUCAUUUCAUUACUACAUUGGUGCAAAUAGUACACUUGCUAUUUUACCGAUCACCAACCCUCAGUUGAGUCAUUGUUUUCCUCUGAGAGAGUCCCUACCCUAUUAUCGGGCGUUUCCCAUUAAGUUACAUCUUUCAACCUUUUGUUGAUAAGACGUUAUCCUUAGCUAAGCCAAACAUUGUUUCUUUAAACACUUACCUUGUUUCGCGUUGAGUAUCCCUCAAUGAGUCGUUUCCUGUAACCUUUUGUUGAUGGAAGCCUCAUCUUCCAAUAGAAUAUUAGUUCUGCAACCUUUUGUUGGUUAUACCCCGAGCAAGUCUUACCCAGUAAUGUUCCAAUACUACCCAACAAGUCGGGUUUAUUGAAUGUUGACAAUAGCCUUAUUUUUCCAAAUAUUUUUCCCACUAUCAUCCUUUUGAUGAAAGUCCAUUGAGGAAUAAUACUAAUCAUCACCCUGUUUACGAUAACCGUUAUCCUUUUGGUAAUGGUAAAUCCUUGACAUUCGUGAUCUUACCGUCAUCCUUUUGGUGUCGGCGAUCCUUGAAGUUUUGUCCCAACCUUCAUCCUUUUGGUGAAUGGCGACCUCUGCAACUAUUAUAGCCCACCGUCAUCCUUUUAGUGUCGGUAAUCCUUGUCAUUUUGGUUCAACCAUCAUCUUUUUGGUGAUGACGUCCAGUUCAAUCUAAAUAUUAUCCUUUUUGUGAUAGAGAUUAUGGAGUCUGGUUUAGGCUAUCGUCCUUUUGGUGAUUGUGACCUAGGGAAAGUCCAAUCCCACUGUCAUCCUUUUGGUGUCAGCAAUAUUUGAAGUUAUUAUAACUUACUAUCAUCCUUUUGGUGGUAACAAGUUCCGAAGUUAUGACCUCACCUUCAUCCUUUUGGUGAUGGUGAUUGUUGAUUCAUUAUCAUCCUUUUGGUGAUAACGAGUCCUGUUGUUUGUAGUACCUUCAUCCUUUUGGUGAUGGUGACCAUCGACUUAUUAUCAUCCUUUUGGUGAUAACAAGUUUUGUUGUUCAAUCCUACCUUCAUCCUUUUGGUAACGGUGAUCAGUAAAAGUUAUUGACUUAUUAUCAUCCUUUGAUGGUAAAGAGUUUUGUUGUUUAAUCUUACCUUCAUCCUUUUGGUGAUGGUGAUUGUUUUGACUUAUUAUCAUCCUUUUGGCGAUAACAAGUUUUGAAGUUUUGUUCUUACCUUUAUCCUUUUGGUGAUGGUUAUCAUUUAAGUUGUCGUGACUUAUUAUCAUCCUUUUGGUGGUAACAAGUUUUGUUGUUUGAUAAUACCUUCAUCCUUUGGUGAUGGUGAUUGUCAUGACUUAUUAUCAUCCUUUUGGUGGUAACUAGUUCUGUUACUAAUCUUACUGUCAUCCUUUUGGUGUCAGUGAUAUUCGAAGUUAUAUUGAUUUAUUAUCAUCCUUUUGGUGGUAACAAGUUUUGUCUUGAUUUUACUUUCAUCCUUUUGGUGAUGGUAAUCAUUUAAAUUGUUGUAAUUUAUUAUCAUCCUUUUGGUGAUAACGAGUUUUGUUGUUUGUAGUACCUUCAUCCUUUUGGUGAUGGUGACUGUCGACUUAUUAUCAUCCUUUUGGUGAUAACAAGUUUUGAAAUUUUGUUCUUACCUUCAUCCUUUUGGUGACGGUGGUCAUUUAAGUUAUUAUGACUUAUUAUCAUCCUUUUGGUGAUAACGAGUUUUGUUAUUGGUUCCACCUUCAUCCUUUUGGUGAUGGUGAUUGUUGACUUAUUAUCAUCCUUUUGAAGAUAACAAGUUUUGUUUGGGUCUUACCCUCAUCCUUUUGGUGAUGGUGAUCAUUGAAGUUAUUUGACUUAUUAUCAUCCUUUUGGUGAUAACAAGUUUUGUUGUGGGAUCUUACCUUCAUCCUUUUGGUGACGGUGAUCUUUGAAGUUGAUGAGUACCUUUUGGUGAUGGUGAUCAUUGAAGUUAUUUGACUUAUUAUCAUCCUUUUGGUGAUAACAAGUUUUGUUGUGGGAUCUUACCUUCAUCCUUUUGGUGACGGUGAUCUUUGAAGUUGAUGAGUUAACCAUCAUCCUUUUGGUGGUAGCCUUGAUAUUAUACUUUUGGGAAUGGAAAGCUUUAUCAGAAUGUCAUCAUCCUUUUGAUGAUGGACGUCAUCCUUUUGGUGAUAAAAAUCUUUGAAUUUUAUUAUGUCAGACUUUCAUCCUUUUUGGUGACAGCAAGUUUGGUUAUUAAUCUUACCAUCAUCCUUCUGAUGAUGACUACCUCUAAAGCUUGGUUUAUCCAUCACCCUUUUAGUGAUGACAAUUAAUUCUACUGUCAUCCUUUUGGUGCCAGAAAACUCGUUCAGUUUUCGCUCUCACAUCAGAAACGACCUUUGCAAGAUUUAAAUGUCGACUCGAGGGUUGGCAUUGAUUUGACGUUCUACCCCAAUACCUUGGUGCUAUUAGAACUCGUUGCAUUUUCUCUCUGCAUUUCUCCAUUGCAUCUCAAAGGACAAAAUUCGGGUCUUUUCGUAUUUAAUUACCUUCCACCACGAACGUAUGAAGACUGUCGUCAUUCUUACCUUCUAGUUCAAGUUAAUUAAAUAGGGGCAACUGUCAUACCCCAAUUUUAUCCGGGCAUUUUUAAAUAUCAGUCAGAAUAGAAUAUUGAAAAUACAGACAAAUUGGUUAAAUCGUUUCUCAAGUACGUGCAAAAUCAGCGGGUAAAAAGUUUCAAAAUUAAAAUUACAGACGCCAGUAUCAUUAACCUAUGGUUCACGUAGUUUAACCUGGUGUGCUCGUUGUAUUUUUCAGGGACUGUUUCGGCUGCGUUUUGACCCGCCUAAGCCUUUUAACCGGUGAAAAUUUAUUUUAGAAUUUGAAGAAACGCUGUAUUUUUUCAAUAAGUGUAUUCUGUGCUGAUCAUUUUGGUGCACCCGAUUUAAUUUUUCGAGCAAAUUUUCGCCCGACUUUUUUGCAUAAUCAAUCAUUUUAUUUUUAUCCUUUCGCCAAAACAUUCAGAAAAUUGAAAUUUCCAUGUCUUCAUUUUAUUUUUACCAUAUUCAUUUUAGAAGUUGUGGAUUUUUAUUUGAUUUCAUUGAUCUAAAUUGUUUUAAGUCAAUUGAACCAUCUAGAAGGGGCACCUUUGAUAUUCUUAGAAUUAGUUAGCAUUUGUGUUUCUUUGGUUUAAUCUCGAUCGUUAAAUCGAGACUAAUCAAAGGUCUAUAAUAGUUAUCCAUGUGUGUUUCUAUUUACCAAUAAUAAAAUCAAAUAAUAUUAAUAUUAAUAAUAAAGAGAAAAAAUCCAUUUAUGGUUGUGUAAAUAAGGAUAGGUGGCUCUUUUUUCUCAAAUUUAGAAAAAAGAGAAAUGCUGAAAAUACUACCCUUUAGGAUUUUUUUCGGUGGCCUCUCGGAUCACUCUCAAACAAAAUUCAUAACAACUCAUUAUUGGCCAGGAGAAAAUGAGUUGUCUCCACUCAUAGCUGGAAAAGGAAUCCACUCUCUUUCUCUCUCUCAAAAGAGAACUCUGAAAAGAAAGAAAAAAAGAAUAGAUAUAUCUCAACGAGUACACAAAAGGAAAAAAAAAUCUCAUUCUGAAAAAAGACGUUACAUCCAUUUAAAUUUCUCUCUCUCACCACUCAUAAAAGAACUACCCAUUCACCUAACUUUCGGACUCUCUCUCACGGGUUCCUCACGUUACAAAAAGAUAAAAGGAAAAAAGAAAUUCAAAAAGGACUGACAAAAAACUCUCUCACCUGAUACCAUUCCUUCUCUCUCAUAAUAACCCUCUCUCUCUCUGACUUCCAAAAGGCAACCAAAAAAGAAAAAAGAAAUUGAGAGGAAUCUUCCUCUUCUUCGGAAUCUCAUCACUCUUCACCACCGGACCGCCUUCAACAACCUCCGUCGUCGAAAACCUCACAGCCAUAACUGCGCCCCCCUUCACCCUCCUUCAAACUCUCCGCUGGCGAAAAACAGAAACACCGCGAUCCUCUUUUUCAACACCGUCCAAACCCUUCGUCUUCGUCACAACCACACACCGCCAUCUCCACCGUCCAAAUCCCAUCUCCGUCUUCACUCAACUCACAACCGCAACCAACCAACAACACCGUGAAACCGUUUUUACGAAACGAAACUCAAUGAAUCUCCUUCCUCACGAAAUCACCGCCGCCACCUUCGACAUCUUACUGCCAUCCACAAUAAACCCUCACAACCGCCUCCGUUCCCCUCCCACACUUCCUUCGUGGCCACCGCAAAAGCCACCACGCGUCUUCUCCUUCACAUUCACGGACGUCUUCUCCUUCCGAUGUCGGAUUCAAACGCAACCAACCAGCCGCUCUACAACAAUAAGAGGAGCAUAGCACCAAAGGAAAUAAUGUAGAAGGAUGGGUCUAGCCGCACUCCGUUUCCAUUAUAAUUUCAAGUUCAUUUCUGACGAACUCACAGUCCUUCCAAUCACCACAAGGUCGUCGAACCCAUACGUAUAUCACUGUAAAUCUCAUGUUGAUUGGUUUAUUAUUGCUUUUGUUUUUUCCAAUUGGAGUAAGGUAGAGAUUAAAUCGAGGAUGCAAGGGUUUGUUUCAUCGGUCUUAAAGAUGAAAAAUAAUGUUCUGCAUUUUUAAAGAACGAAAGAAAGCAUAGUGGAAAUUUCUAACUUAUUAUGAGCCUUGAUUUUCCUAAUGGUAAUGUAAAAGUUAAACUGGAUUUUUACGUUUUGUUACUUGUUUGUUUGACUGAACUUUUUUUUAAUUAUUAUUACAUGACAAUAGAAUUAGUAUUUUGGUUGUAGAAAGAGUUGUCUGCAUAUAAUUCAUUAUGGGCUUGGUUUUCUUUUUAUCCAGGAAAAUUUUAGAUUGGAUCGAUAAUGCUUAAUAGUGUACAUUGAAUUCUUUCUUAAAUCACGUUUGGAAGGGUCCUGCAACUCUUUUUGUUUAUUUCAAACUUGGACAUCAUUGGUUUUAAAUGGUACUUUGUUUUAAUUAAUUGUAUUAGUAUCCCUUGUUCUAACUAAUUUAUUAGUUCACAACGUUACAACCAUUUUUCUCAAAUACAUGGUUGGUUCUACUAUUAAAAUUUAAAUUAGAUUAUUAAUUGCCUAAUGGAUUUUAUAGUGUAUAUGUAUAAAUCUGCUCCAAUCAUAUGGCGUUGUUGUUAACAUUC
rnacentral:lncRNA from 1 species